rnacentral:lncRNA from 1 species
UGAAAGUAGUAAGAAUUUCUUCGAAAUCAACAACAUUGCUAUUCAAGAACUUUUUUUUUUCUUUAGUUGCCUUUUCUCGUACUUCCAAAUUCCAUCUGACCUACACCAAACUUAAACAGCUAUUCAAUCACGUUUUCACUAAACUUUUGUUUUAAAAAAACAAAUAAUAACUCUUACCAAUGCCAAACAGCCCCACGGUUUUUCAGUAAAGGAAAUGACACUGAUUAUAAUUAGGUAACCUUUUGAGAGAGAAGUAUGCUACAAUUUAUCUUCAAACCAGGGAGAACUUAAUGUACCUUUUGUGUCAUCUGUAACAACGUAUCUGAGCCAUGAUUCAAUAUUUCUUUAGGAAUGGAUGAAAGGAUCAGCUCUAAGUUAGAAUCUUUGUCAAUGCCUUGAAGAUUAACACGUAAUGCUUUUAUUUCAGCCUGGAUCGGUAACCCUCUGGAAAGAGCAUCUUCAAGUGCCAGUGCCCCCUAUAAGAUCGAUGACUUAUAGUUGAUUAAACACUUUGAGAUAAAUUGGAUUGGCUAUGCGCUAGCAAAAUAUAAAAAGGAAAAAAUAUGAUUUACAACCAUGAAAGUUCCUGAGACACCUUGUACUUGAGCACAAUGCUCGUUGAUGGAUUUAUACAUAUAUAAACUUUCUUGACAAAUGAAAUACAAAAGCAAGGGUUUAAAAAUCCUUAGAAAAUGCCAAGUUUAUAAAAAAUACUCUACUGCAGAUUCAAGGGAAGUUUUGGAGAAUUUCCUCACUCUUAAGUACAAUUCUCUCACAAGAUAACUGAGCAAAAACGUACUUCCCUGGCACUUUCUUACUUACAGACUAUAUAUUGCUCAAACCAAAGCUCAUUCUCACUAUAUUCUCAGGGGCCCAUCCCUCUAACUAACUAAUAACAAUUUAAUAUUCCUCAACUGCCUACACUUAUACACAUGCUUAAUGGGGGGGUCUAUCAUAGACUCAUAGUCAGCACAAAUAACCAAAAGAGGCUAAUUACAGAAACCUCGACUAAGGAAUCUCCAAUUGAAUCUUACAGGCUAGAACAUCCACCCUUGACAAAAGAAGAGAAUGAGAUUAUUCAAGCAAGAAUACUAUGACAAGCAAUUUUACAAUGUCAAAACCUGUCUUCAUUCUAAGAACAACCUCGGAUCUUAUUUUCAAAAGAAGCCUCACAAAACGUAACUAAAAAAAAAAAAACAAAUACCGUUUCCAAAUUUCAGCGUACACCCUAAUUUUAUGUUUUUUAUGGAAACAUACUGGUUUCAAACUUUCUAAAAUGCCUACAAAUAUGUAUGUUGUUGCGGAGAGACCUAGAACUAUUUUAACCUGGAAGAUUUUAAACGUAGUUUAAUCCCAAUGUUCAUCAGUUUCCCUGUUCACAUGCAAAUGAUGUAAAUCUGAUAGAAGAAUGAUCACCUUCAAUAGUACCCAAACUACUAAUAUUAGAUGCACAAACGUGCACCAGUAUGUAGGAAGACAAAUCUUUCUCCAAAAGUAAGUUUAACUUCAGUUUCUUCUAUACUACAAGUAAGAAAUGAAAACAUCAAUAAGUAGAAGUGCGAACUUACCAAUGCAAGUUUCUGAGCAGAGUGACUUUGACGAGCUUCUUCAGACCUUGCAUAGAAUGCCAUGCAAAGGGCAUUAAUCUGCAAAAAGAAGUUUCACACAUAAACAGAUUAUUGGUGGUAGAUUGAUUGCCUGGAUUCAGGCCAAAGGACAUGGAGCUAUAUUGGAACAUGCACAUCAUUGACAAGAAAAUAAACUAUUAUAGCAACAAAAGAAUUGCCAAAUUGAUGUACAGUUGACGUGUUUCUUCAUUAUAGUGUAAAAUUUUCAUCAAGCAAUGUCCAUAAAAAUCGGUGAGCAUCUUUCAUCCUAUGAAGGAAAAACUUCCCCCCGAAUGGUGAUAUCGUAAAUGAAGAACUAAACAUUUUUUUUCAACUUUUUUUUUCUUGUUAUGAAUGUCAUUUUUUAAGGAGGCAUGUUAGGUCCUAAUAUUAUCUAUAACUUCCACUUUGAAUAUGCAUGAUGUUUUUAGCUCAGGUAAAUCAAUAGCUUGUGCUAUAUUGCUUACAUGAAGAUUUGCUUCAGCCAUUUUUUCUAUCUGGGCAGCCUUCUCACUUGCAAUUGCUGCAGCUAACUCUGCUUUUGCCAGAUCUUGAAGUUUUCUCAACUUUGAUUCUAACUCAUUUUCCUGCAAUGAAAUCAUUUUUAAAAGUAUUGGUAAAGGGUCAGCAACUUGAGCUUGUUUGUCAUUUAAGAAACACUCCUACCUUCUGUUCAAGUUCCUUCUGAAAUUUAUCUUCCAAAUUCUCUUGUAGUGACAUCAGAGCAGCAGCUGCUUUUGUUUUCUCUCGUUUUAACUCCUGAAAAUAGUUAAAAUCCCAAGAAGCCAAUUAUAAGAAUGAGAGAAACACAACAACAGUGUACAGAUGUACGCUCUCUGUUCAGAUGAUACAUCUAUAAGAGACUCCACGUGCGUAAUUCAAAAAUUGAGAAUUCAACCUUGUCCAACAUAGCAGCCUUUUCUGCAUGCAUAAAUUCCCUAACCCGAGCAUCCCUCAAUGCUUCGUCCAUCUUGUUCUGUACAGAACAGAAACAUAAAUCACAGUCAAUAAUAGUCGCAUUUCAUAAAAAUUACAAUCGUUUCACGUACGAUAUAAAAAAUAUCUAUCGAUCCAUACCCACAGUGCUGUCUUUUCAUCAGCAAAACGACGAUAAUCCAGCUCAGCUUGCCGCUUUUCAGCAGCAUGAAUAGCUUCUAAGAAAUCAAUGACCAAUUUCCCAUCCUUGGAUAUGAAGCCAUCAUUCAACUCCUCAAUUUCAGCAAUUAAAGCCUGGCAUCUUGGAAACAAAACUUUAGAUCUUGUCUAAGACUCCUUUACUCAAUUCCAGAAAAAUGGACAUCCAUCAAGAAGAAGGAAAAAGUAAAUGACCUCUGUUCCUUUGUAAAACUUGUCAGUUCCAUCUUUGCUACCACCACCCAAGGAAGUCAUGCCAGCCUCACCCUUCAAAUGGUAGGCCUCGAGAAGAGAACUUGGCUCCCCUGUAUCUUCACUUGUAUCAUUCAACUCCUGGAUAGAAUACGAGCAGAGACAGAUUCACUUUAAGUUACACAUCUUUACUAGAAAUGAAUAUAUUUGGAUAAGAGAUUAAUAUAUUUAAGAAACAAAAGUUCAGAGAUGAUAUCCUGUGAAUCUAGAAUGUCUAAUUCUAAUGAACCAAUCAUCCUCAUCAAACUUCAUUUCUGGCCCGAAUACUAUUAGGCAAGGGAUUCUAGGUACCUGGUAUUUUUUCUAACUUGCCUCCUGUAAUAAACGUUUCAGUAAUCCCUUUCUGACACUGGAGUGGACGAAUAAUAAGUUGGAAUAGACCAAAUAGGUUCGUCUGCUGUAUGAUGAGAGGCUAGUCAUCUUCUUCAACACCCUAUGCAAUAUUUACAAAUUUUAACCUUCUUAUUAAUCCAUAAGGAUUAUAGACCUAUAAUCUGGUCUCUCCUUCUGCAAAGUCCUCAUCAUAUUUGAGAAGAUUUUUAUCAUGAGAGAUGAUGACUUGGUUUUGCCACUAUCUUGCUAACACGUGUUUCAGUUUCACCCACGUAUCAAAGAUAAGGGGGUUUGGACAUUUGAUUGUUCCAAGUCUUUCUCUUGUGAGCUGGUUUCUGGAAGGUUACACUCAUGAAGAAAACUAAAUUUUGCACGCUUGAUGCCUGGUGAUUUAUAGGAGGAUUAAUCCCAAAUCUCCACAGGUGUUCCUAUUUUACCAGUUAAUUGAAGAUUAAGAGGAUCUACACAUUUUUUUACUUUUCCCUUUUCCCAUAAUGAUUUGGUUUAGGUUUUGCAAUUGUUUGGCAUUAUUUUGGCCCCAUUUUGUAAUUUUCAUUCUAUGAUUGAAGAAGUUCUAGUAGAUCCUUCAGUUCAGGAAAGAGAAAUAGACAAUUGUGGUGGCAGGUUUUUAAUCAACAUAAGAUAUAUUUGGUAGAGAGAAACGUGAGGAUGUUUCAAUUAAGGGUCCUCAGAUAAAGUGUAGCCAGACUCAAAAUUAAGUUCCUCAUAGAGGAUUUUUUGUUGAAACAUUUUUAGUGAUUUUACUCUCAUUUCAAUUACCAAUAAUUAUACCAAUUUUUUCUAACUGUUUUCCUUCUCAUAACCCUUUUAUCUUGGCGUGGGCUUUUUUAUAUACAGCCUCUGUUUACUUUCUUCCCUGCCUCUUAAUAUAAGCUGGUUCACUAUUAAAAAGAAUUUGCAUUGAGCACGUGCAUUGUAUUGUAUGACUUAAACCUUCAAGCUACCAUUACAUCAACAUUUGAUCUGAAUGGAUAAAUUGAAGUUACCUUCAGUUUCUCUUCUGCAACUGUAUCUUCUUGUGGUGGUAUUCUGAUAUCAAUCUGUGCGGGUUCUGCAUCUGUCUUGCUAGAUAUUGGUGAAGUUUGAACUUCAUCGUGAGGCCAAUCCCUAGUACAAGACUCUGCGCUUUGCAUGUUCAAGUUUUCAUCUGUGGAUAUUUUAGAUCCAAGAUUCUCAUCCUCUACUUGACUGCCACUUUGAGUAAAUUCUGGCAAGUUUUCCUCCUCGAUCUUUUCAUGUGGCAGUGUCCUGGAACUGUCUUCAAACUGACCAUCAUCUUUCUCUUUUCCCCAAUCUUCAAGAUGAGGAAGGUGGGUAUCUGUCUCAACUUUCUGCUCAGUAGACUCCACAAUGGGAUUUGAGCUCUCGGUUUCUUCUCUAACACUAUUCGAUUUUUCGGUUUCCUCACUACUCGGUAAAUCAAAUUUCUGCACCACCAAAGGUUGGACAUUGUCUGAAUCACUUUUCUGAACUGUUUUAGUUGACUCUACAGAAGAAUUCUGCUCUAUAUCAACAGUUCGUUGGUCUAGAUAGCCGGCUUGGUAAGCUGCAAAAACAGCAGCACCAAUAACAACACUGCCAAAGACAACUUUUGGGAUGGAAUUUCCAGAAUUAGGUGGCACAUUUGUAGGUUGUGGUUUCAGAUUUUGUUUGGGCGCAGAUGAAAAUUCCCUUAUCUUAGAAAUACAUUGGGGUGUAUGCCAACAUUGCACCUGCAACAAAAACCUGUCAAAGAAUCAGAAAAUAUUUGAAAAAGUACACCAUUAAACCACAAAAAAUAUCAGGAUUGCAUAGUUUGGUCCCUAUAUUUUAUUAUAGACUAGUUUUGCAACACACUCUGUUCGUCCUCCCAUUUCAUUUGUCUCACAGCUUUUGGGCACAGUAAAAUUAAACAUAAGAAUAGAAACAUGUCAAUGGGUUUAACAUUUCUUAACACUGUCAAUUAAUUACAACAGCAGAAGAAAGAAUGGUAUAAAUAGAAAGUUCGUGUAUGUUAUAUGAGAAGGCUUCAAGUAGUCAGUUAAUAAAGACAGCACAACUGCAUCACAAGCACGUAGCAGGCAGAUGAAAAACUAUAUGCAUGUCUUUGCUCCCAAGUCAAAAAUAAAUUUCCAAGCAUUUAUUUUGCAGAUGCUCGUACUACCAAGAAAGAAUAGCAUAAAUAGCAAUUUAGUGUAUGUUAAAAGAUCCCAAUGUUGUACAUUUCCACCCAACUGCAUCUACGAUAACAUAUGUGAAGAACCAAGCAUGUGGAUUUAUAUGCUUAUAAGUCGAAUACACACUUCUCCAAAUAUCUGUUUGUAAAUUAUCUCAGCGUUUGGAUUGUACAAAACGAAUUCUGAUCGCAAAAAUGGGAAAGUCUUAUUUACGAAAUUCUACUUGCCUGGGGUGAACUCUGCCUCGGAGUCCUUCCACCAGAUUGACGAGAUGAUAAUUUCAGAAUUGACCUGCAGACAACAAUGCGAUAAAAAUACUAUCUAUAAGCAUCACCCGCUGUAACCGAACCCAGCGAGAUCCAAAUUCAUACAUAACAUGGCCAUUGACAUUGAGAUUUAUUAUCAUUUAUUAGUAGAAAAUUCCUAUUGCUGAGAAUGCCAAAUUAACCCUCGGGAGAUUAAAGAAUAAGAAUCUGGCAAUUUUCAACCAUUCAAGAAAACACUGCACUCGAAGGACAAUCGAAAUGACUAAUUAACGAAGAACAUCAACAUCACGAGCAAAAUAAAACAUAGUUGAAACAUAGUUCAAGAACAUUUCCGUACCUCCGCCACAUAGCGUAUACCUAUUCAGUGAAAACGGCGAGCGACGAAGAUAUUUGAGCGAAUAACCAAGUAAGCGAUUAAAUGCAAGUUGGGCAGUGGGUGAUGGAAAGUCCGGCCUGGUAGGAGGGUGGAACAACGGGUUCGAAAACUCAAAUUAACAAUCGGUUUACCGGAGGAAGAUCGCCGGAGACGAAGGAAAACAUCCGAUGACACCGGAAUUUUACCGCCUAAUUAGAUGUGUCCGACCAUCCGCAAGGAAUUAUUCCGCGAGUUGCAAUAGAUUCUACAAGGCCCAUUUAUAAAGUUGGGCCUUGAGCCCAAUAGAUUUGUAGGAGGUUGAUGAGCUGGGCUGAACGAAUCUGACAAGACUGCCCUUAUUCGGGUCCAUUGUGAUUCUAAAGGUAUGACUCGAUCAAUACUUUGUAGAUGUAAAUUUGAUAGACGAGCUAGUUUUUUUUGCAACAACAAAUACAGCCUUCUUUUUAAAUCUCAAUUGAAGCAAGGUAAUCUUUUAUGAUAUAACAUACGUGUAGACUUGAUUAAAGAAACAAACAAAAAAUUAGGGGAAAAAACUAAAGAGAUUGUAUUUUCUUCAACUCAAAGUUUCCCCAACUAAUAAUACUGUUGUUGCUAGUUAGGUUUCUCCCACCACAAGAACUGAUAAUGAAUUUAAUAACUGUAAAAAAAUAAAAUUUGGGAUAAUUCUUCUGUAAUAGUAUUUCAAGUGACCGAUACCGUUUUAGGCUAUUUUUAAACAUAGCAUAAUGAAUAAACAUAUAUAUUACACCAACACAAAUUACUAUUUUGUAUUUAUCAUGAUAGCAGUUUAUCUUGGUAUAUCACAUGUAAACAGUUAUAUUUUUUUAUAUUCAUAAAUAUUAUAAAAAAAACGUGCAUUAAAAACACUUUAUCCUUUUUCAAAAGUAACAAUAAUAAAUAUUUUUCUCUAAUAAUAUUCGAAAUUAUUUCACAACCUUUAAAGAUUGUGUGGAUUGCCCAUGUGUUCAAGCAUCUUUAUGUCUAAAAUAGAUUCGACUUAGUUAAACUAUAAUUGACCAAUCAUUUCUCUCUAACAGUCAAUGAUUUGAUUUUUCAUUCUAUGAAUGUUGAAAACAUAUACAAGGGUGUAAAAAUUUGUUUAAAUGAUAAAACGAUUGAAAUAUUUACAAACAUAACAAAAUUUAAUAGUUUAUAAAUUUAUCCGCAUCCAUUUGACAUUUAUUAGAUAAAUGAUAAUAAUCUAUCAACAUUUAUUAUUGAUAUUUUACUAUAUUUAUAAUUUUUUUUUGGUUCAUAUCACUUUAUAGGAAGUGGUUAUAUAUAUAUAUACAUACACUUAAAAGCAUCAAAGUGGAGUGGUAGGGGCCAUGUCACAUGGGAAGAACAAAGAGGCAUCCCAAAUUCAAAGAGUGAACCAUGCAUGUCAUGUCACAUAAAGCAUUAAUUUUCUUUUAUAAUAUUUUGUUUCCUGUUUUUAGUUAAAAAGAGAUAUUUGAGAUAAAAUCCCACAAAAGUGAUAUCUAAUGAAUUUCACUAUCAUAUCCAAAAACUCAAUUAUUAGUUUUCAAAACGCACACACACACAAUUAUCAAAAUGUUUCUAAACAUAUAGAAAAAAUCUACUCACGUUUUUAUACUAAAAUUUCUUUUGAACAUUACUGAGGUUGUCUGUCUCUAAUGGGUGAAUUUCUUUGACAUACUUAUUUCAUUCUUUCAGCAAUCCUUCAAUUUAGAAAUCUAAACACUUUCUCAGAGCUAGAGAUGCAUCAAUCAAAGACUAAUCUUGACAUUUUUCUAAUUCUUUAUUACAAAUUACCAUAUUUUUCACCAAAUAUAGAAUCUAUAACCCAACUAUUUUUUGCUAUUCAAAAAUCGUUUAGAGAGAAAUUGCACAAUUAAGUCCUUGAGGAAAAUCGGCAAAUGGUACAUAACAGCCAUGAGGGUGGAAUAGCUUCCAUAUGAGAACCAAGGCGAUGGCUUCGUUUUAAGAACAGCGGCGACUGUCUUCUCGGCAAACUCGGCAGUAGGGGUGGCGUUAGAGCCCUGCGAGGCAUUGGCCCUGGCUAACAUUGCAGCUUCAAAGGGCUUGAAUAGCUUCAACUCAGGCAUCUGAUUAAAGUUGGCAAUGGCAGAGUUUCCAAUGUUUGAUUUAAUGGCUCCAGGGACAACGUUGAUAACGUCGAUUCCAAAGGGCUUCAGCUCCAUCCUUCAAUGAUGAAAAUAUCGAUCAAGUCAACCAACAUCACAGUGUGAAAUAAAUGCGAAAAUCAAAUGAAAUAUGUCAGCAAAUUGAAUUGGAUAUUCAUUGCGUUUAUUCAAGUUUCUAUCAUGGGCCGUGGCCCCCUAAAAAGCAAAAAGAAAAAAGAAAGUUUUAGAUUUUGAACUUUAAUGUCUUGGAAUAACUUUUCUAAGCAUUGAAAAAAAGAAAGUUUUUUUGGAGGGGUAUUUUUUUGCACAAGAGUUGAGAGUAACAACAUAGAAACAGAAGUAGAAGUGUGGAAUGGUAAACUUCCCCUCUUUAUUUAAACUAAAAAAUUUGUAGGCUUUCACAACUAAAAAACAUCAAUAACCCGUACAUUUUACUCCCAUCAGUUUACAAGUUUCUAGUUUUCAUAACUCACAACUUCACUCUUUGCCUCAAAGAUCGUCUUAUAAAACAAUGUUCUAUAAAGUCAUUUCAAACCGACUUUCAUGAAGAAAUAAGUUGUCUUGAAUCAACAAUAAGUAACCCAUAAAAAUAAACCCAGCAGAAAAAGAAAUAUUUGCUUACCCAUCAGACUUUUGUGGGUUGUUUCUGUUUCUACAGUUCUACUUCAGUGCAUUGUAACUUAAUAUAUUCUAUACAUAUCUUUGAGAUCUUUGAGCUGCUAAAAAGAUACACUAGAAAUUCAAUAGGACCCCGGCACUUAUUUUUCUCAUAUGAAUACUCAAUUUAAACUUUAAGCAUAAAGGUCUCGAACCCACUACAUAAUCAAACAAGCAAAAACAUCAAAAUUUCAAAUCCAACUAAAAAUUAUUCAAAGAUAGAUAAACAAAGUGGAAUGAUGCUCAUCCACUCACAAGAAUGGCUACAAGAAUCGGAACUCAAAUCCAUAGAAAUAUUAAUUUAAUCCCUUGAUUUAAGGUAAGAAUUGCGGUUGAAAGUUAAACUCCACCAACGAGCUUUAUUUGAAUUUUGGUUCUUUAUUUUUAAAAAUUAAUAUUUAUAAACCCUAUUUUCACCUCUAAUUUUCUUCCUAACUCGUUUCUAAAAAAUCUAAACCACUCAAAAACCAAAAAAAUAGUUUUAAAGUAUGUCUGAAAACUUUUUAGUUCUUUUGUUUUUGGUCCUCGAACAAUGGAUUUGUUCUUUUAACAACUUCCCUGUCAUACUAUUUAUCAAGAAAGACCAAAUUUUCUUAGUAAAUUUUCAAAUUGCAAAAACUAUCUUUCUUUACUUUUCAAAAUUUAGUCUUGGUUUUUAGAAUUGCAAAUUGCAAAAACUUUCUCUACCUUUCAAAACUUAGUAUUGGAUUUUAGAAUUAAUGAUAAAAGGUGGAUAACUAAAUAAAAAAACCAAUAGAUGAAAAGUAGAGAGUUUGUAAACUUAAUUUUUAAAAAGCAAAUUGCUAUCAAAUAGCUUUAGUAGUCAACUUUCAUCCCAGAAAAAGACUAGUGAGGUUCAAAUUAACUUAAUAAACUAUCACUAGCGAGGGUCUGGAAGAUCGAGAUAAUUAACUAAGGCAAGGCAAAACAUUUCGUGCAUGAUCAGGAACACAAAACAAUUGUUAAUUAUACCAUUAGAUGAGAAUCAGAGAGGUAUAUACGAACCUCAGACAGUCAGAAAUGGAAUGAAUAGCAGCUUUGGAUGCAGUAUAAGCACCAGCCCAUGGAAGAGGCGCCAAUACGGUGACACUUCCCAAAUUCACAAUCUUCCCCUUUCUUCGUGAUGCCAUGUGAGGAACCACGGUUUGAAUCAAUCUCAUAGUCCCUGCAAAUGCAAUUCUCCAAUUCAUAAAUACUAAUUUAACAUAAUACAAUAAUCCACUCCUUUCCAUAUUGGAGUGUUCAUGUUCAAAUUUUCCCCACCUCUAACUCUGCUUUCUACAUUUCACAUACCAAACAAACAGCUUUGUUUCUAACCAGUGGCGAAUCAGAAAUUUUAUUGACUAAGGCUUUAUAGACUAUUAAAAAUAAUUUGGAAGAAAAUAUAACUAAUAGGACUUGAACCUGAGUAUAGAGGGACUAAAUAAUUUCAUUGUUCACCAACUUCUUAAAUUGGUACUAUUUCAGUUUUCUAUAUAUAUAUAUUGUAAUAUAAAGAUCUUAAGUUGAUGGAAGAAAAUAUAACUAAUAGGACUUGAACUUGAGUAUAGAGGGACUAAAUAAUUUCAUUGUUCACUAACUUCUUAAAUUGGUACUAUUUCAGUUUUCUAUAUAUAUAUAUUGUAAUAUAAAGAUCUUAAGUUGAUGGGACUCGAGCUCCUGUACCUAUGCUAAAUCCACCCGUGUUUGCCAGGAAUACAAUUAUAUACAGUAGCAGAAGCUGACGAACACAGUAGAGCAGAAGAUAGGAUGAUAAAGUCUUCAGCGUUUAUUUCUAACCGACCACUGGAUCAAAUGUUAAUCACAAAACAAUAUCAAACUCAAAUCAAUUCGAAAUCUAAAUAAGCGGCUCAGUCAAUUCACAGUUUCUAAUCCCUAGAUUCGAUAUCAUUCAAUUCUGAAGGAAGAAAAAUGAAAUGGCGAAUCUGAAUAUUGAAAUACAAUUAAUUUCGCUGAUGGAUAAUUUGUUAGAGACCGAAGCUCACCGAAAACAUUGGUAUUGAAGGCGUUCUGCAUAGCGGAAAGUUGAACCUCGGCAAUAGGUCCAAUACAUUGAACGCCAGCGUUGUUCACCAAAAUAUCGAUUCGACCGAAUUUUUCGAUGACAAGAGACGUUAAUCGCUCGACGCUUUGGUCGGACAGGACAUCGAGUUCUUGUAAGAAAAAUCUGGGAUCGUGCUCCAGGUCCGCCAUUGAGGAGCGGGACCUGCUGGUUGCGACUACCAAACAGCCCUGGUCGGCGAAGGCUCGGGCGAGAGAGUGGCCUAUGCCUCCGUCGGAACAGCCGGAGAUGACAACUACUUCUUUUCCGGCAAAUUCCAUAUCCUUUUUAUCUUCUUGAAAAGUGAACGAACCCCGCCCUCCUCCAAAUUAAACCGAUUGAUAAAUCGGAGAUUGAAGUGUUGGGUAGCUCCAAGUACAUCAAUAAGAGCAAUUGCUCACUCGUCUGCACCUAGGCCCUGAAGACUUCCACAUGGCCGGUCUUUGUGGUGCCACUUGGCAACCCCACAUGGACGCUUUCCCUUUUUUCCCUCCUUCAUUUACGGUUAUUGUAUUUCUUGGGUGAUUUUAAAAAAAAAUUGGGAUUUUGGUUUUAAAUUUAUACAUAUAUAUAUGCUCAAUCUCUUCUCUCAUUUAUACAACACUCUUUAUUUUUAAUUAAUCAAUUAAAAAGUAAUAUUUUUAAAAAAUUGAAAUUAUUCUUACCAUGUUUUUUUAUUUAUGUUGCUAAUUCAUUUUCGUUAACUUGUGUUAAAUUGUUUAUGAAUUGUUGAUAUAAGUGGUUGAAGUUUCUACGAGUUACGUGCUGGUUUAUAGGAGUUGAAUGAGUGAGCAUAUGUGAGUUUUGAUUUGAAAGUAUCUGUUGAUAUAUAAAAUCCUAAUAAAUUUUAAACCUUUACUAAAAGUAAAAAUUAGAUUCCUUUGUUGAAGUCCAUCGAUAAUAGACUAUUUUAGUGAGGAGUAUCUAUAAGUAGUAGAUAUGGUAGAAGUCUUUUGGUAACAAAGUUUAACACUUGAUUUUAUUUAAAUUGCAAUUUUGGUUUCUUAAAUUCAAACCAUAGUUGGCAUUGGCUCACCGUUGGAAGGACGAGUAAAUGUUUAACUACAACAUUUAUUGCAUCCUUUUAUUUUAUUUUUCAGUAUCCAUUGUUUGUUUUAUUUGUAAAUUGUGAAUAAAACUAUGGCAAGAGGUAAUUGAAAUGAAACCAUAGCAAAUUUUAUAGAAUUAAAAGCCGUGGCACAAUGCAUGCAUUCAUUUAUCUAAAUAAUUCAAUUACAUGAGUACAAAAAAUAAUACAUUUUUUAAACGUAAAUGUUGAUAGAUUUUCAUUAGUGGAUAGAUUCUCAUGUCACAUCAUACUCUAUAUCGUUCAUAUCAAUAAUAUAAAUUUUUCGUUGAUAGAUUUUGUUAUAUUUUCUAUUUUUUAAAAAUAUUAUUAUACAAUUGUAUACCAUCUCUAAUAUUAUUAUGCCCUCGAUCAUAUCAAUCACUUUUAUAGAUUAAAUAAGUAUACAUCAUUAUAAUAGAAAUAAAAGUUCACUUUGUAUAAAAUUGUUUUAAAUUUCAUAAUACUAUGCAUAGUUUAUAUAUAGUUUAGAGAAUGUGUUCAUGAUACAUUCACAAAUAUUUAAUUGAAAAGAAUGUUAUUAAAAAAUAUAUAAUAUUUGACAAACACUCAAAAUUAGUCUUAAAACAACAUAAUCCAAACAUAACCUAAAUGGUUUUACUAAUUGAUAAUUUGUUUGCAUUUACUUGCUCAAGAAGGCCAUAAGUUUAGAAAUCAUCCCUAGGAACAAAAAAACGAAAAGUUAGAAAUUAUCCAAAGAACUAUUUUCCAUAUUGUUUGUUGGUUCUCAAAAAAAUAUUGAUUAGGUUAUUACAUUUUGGGACAGCAUACAUCUAAACUGACAAACUAAAUUUAGUAGUUUAUUAGUCAAUAAUUGAGUAAUAUAUCAUUAUUGACCACAACAAAUAAUGGCCUACCUCUUCAAAACAAUACUUCAAAUACAAAGUUUCCCCGACAAACAAUUACAUCGAAAAUUACAUCGAACAAAUCCAUAUUUAAUCUCCAUUUUUUUCAAGACUUUAGGAAAUGACAAUGCUAUUCCCCCCAUAAAUUGACCUAUAUAGAUAUAGAUAGAUAGUAUUUAAUUCUAAACCCUCUUAUUUCUAUCUAAACACUGGUACCAACAAGAAGAUGCUGUCUCCUUAUUUCGAGAAAAAAAAAAAGAUAUUGUCGAUAUUGUCUAAAGUCUUCCCUAAACGUGAAUUGAAGAUAAAAAGACGAAAUUUAUCACUAUAAUUGAAGGGAAAUUAAUUUAGUUUCUAUUGUUUCAUAAGUUUAGAUUUAGUCUCUUUUAAGUGCAGAAAGUCUAAGAGAAAUCCUUAUAAUUGAAUGAAGCUAUCACAAAUAAUCCUUGUUAUUGAGACUAAAUUAUAGUUUUCUUAAGUUAAAGUGACCAGUUUUACAAUUUAGAAUAGGAUUAGAAUGUUGGAUCUCAUUACACCAUGGUUGUACUAAAAAAUUACAACUUUGUUUUCAAGAUAUAGGGACAAAUUCUACAAUUGAAUGCAUAAUUACUACGAAUUAAUUAACCAGUUCUCCCAUGUUCAGAAGUAUCAGAAUCAUUUUUUGACUUGUUAACGUGUUUUAAUGAACUAGAACUAUAUUUCAACAACGCUCCAAAAUUCACACCAAAAAUGGAGACGAAGAGAGAAAGAAGAAGAUAUAACCCAUAAUUUGUACCUUCCUUAGUUUGAUUUCUAGCCAGAUCACAUCACCGAAGGAAGUUCAAAAAUUUACACAAGACGUAGAAAAAGAAAAGAAAAGAAAAAAAGCACUAAAAGCUUCGACUCUGGCAUGAAAUUUCUAUUGAGAAAGUAAAAGCCAGAGGAGGCCUGUUUUCAGGAAUUAGAGGUGGCCUGAAGCCCAAAUAGGGUACCCGGAUGGACUUUUUUACUGGAUUUUCCGGCAAUUCCGCCGGCGGCGUGAUGGGAAGUUUUUGGAGGUUUGACGGAAUCUUCUCUCCUGCCAGAUCUCUCCUGCUCCAUCCUCUGCAGUUUUUCCUCUGCUUUCUUUUUCAUUACAUAAACCCUAGCGCAGCUAGCUCCCAUGGAGGACAUGGUUUAUACAGAAGAAAAGGAAAUGAAAUGAAGAAAUUUCUACAAAUGUUUCAGUGGGCUUUUAAUUUGUUCAAUCGGUGGGUAUUGAAUGGCUUAAACCCUUGUUGUAUUUAUAGUGGAAAACGUGUUUGGUGGCCUUGGUGUUUCGUUGGCCCCUAGCGUAGGGGUCAGAUAACCAUAACCCCCAUUUUCUGUACCUUAUUUGGAUUGGACAAUUUCUUUUUAUUUCAAUCAAAUUUAAAUUAAAUUAAAUUUGCAUUUUUGUUAUUUAUACAAUUUUGCGUUUAACUUAAUCAAUGUAUUGUUCAAAAGUUGAGAUCUGCAAAUUCAUUGUUUCUUCCAUUCUAAUUUACAAAGGAUAAGUUUUGUUUUUAAUUUGAUCUGAUUUUUAGUUUAAUUUUAUAGUUUUUAUUUAAUUUUCUACAAUUUAAGCUUCUUUCAAAAUGCUAGCGUAGUUUUAAUUUGAUAUGGUUUGUUUCUUUAUUAAACUUAUAUCACUUCAUUACUUAAAUAGAUAUGUCAUGUUGCAAUCAUGUGCAUAGUUUGUGAAGUAAAAGUCAUGUGAACUUGGUUAAAUUUGUUAUGAACUCAACUUAAAAUUAAACUUUUUUAUUUAUUUGUUUUGACUCCAAUAAUACACUUGCAUAGUUGAGAUGUGUUUAGAUGUGUUUUACUGUUCAACUGUAGUUAGAAGUUUGUAUCUAAAUUUAUACUACAAGACAAAAGAUUAAUAAAGCAAUUGAGAACACAAAUGGAUAAGCAGUUGACUUAAUACAACUCUAAUUAACCAUUACAAGAUCUAAAUUCUCCUAAUUUAAAUGAUACAAGCAUAACAUUGUAUAAAUUUAAAUCUACAACUAAUUUGAAUCUUUCCAUUUACAUUAUGAAAAACACACUAUAUAAAAACUACAAUCUUUCCAUUUACAUUAUGAAAAACACACUAUAUAAAAACUACAACAGUAUAAUUAAUGUUUGAAUUCAUAAACGAAUCGGUUUAUAAUUUUAAUUAGAGUUUCCUUUUAGAAUCGUCAAUAUCUACUUUAAUCAUCUUCAAACUAAUGGAUCGAUGAUUUUCAAAUGUAAUCAUACAUAGAUCAAUUAUCUUUUUAAAAAAAUCUACAAAGUUUGAUACAGUAAUAAAAAAGUUAAUUAUUAGUUUAUGAUUUCACUAAAUUCAAUGUUCAAUUUUGUUUAGUAUGAUACUUGAUAAAAGAUUAUUGUCUUUAUGGAAAAAGAUCACAUGAAUUAUGAUUAAUUAAAUGAAGCUGAAUUUCAAAUUAACCAAUUAAUUAAUCACAACAAUACAAAUGAAUUUACACUAAAUUUUAAAGAGGUAUUUAAAAAUGGGAAGAAAAAAGAGAGAGAGAGAGAGAAAAGAAUUGAGUAAUAGACGCUCAAUAAUGGAAUAUUUAAUUGGAAUCACCAAGAUGGAGAAAACGGUUGAAAGACAACUAACACCGUUUACCGGGAUGGUUUUUAAAAACACAAAGUACACAGAAACGAAUAAAACGGUGGGAAACCCCAAGCUCUGAGGAAAAUAAAAAAAGAAACAAUGGCUUGUAUUAGAUGCGGCACUCACACCACUCCAACUGUGAGGUCGCCCCACGUCAGCUAAAGAUAUUAUAGAUGGAGGCGGCCAAAGGUUCUGCUUACGUGUCUGUUGAUUAUUCGCCCGAAAUUUCCAACAUAACAAAAAAGUGCUCUUCUUUUUUCUUAAUAUAUAUUUUUUUAAAAUUAUGGAAAUUAAAUGUUGGAGAGAUAAGAGUUUGAUUGAGGUCACAAUCUGAGUCGUGGACCGUGAAGGCACCUUUUUUCUUUCUUUUUCUCUCUUUCUUUAUUUACUUUGAAUUAUUUCAUUUGUCAUUAUUACCUUGCACUUACAAAAGUACCUAAGUCUAUUUCUUCAUUAUGCACCCACUCAAAUGCGUUGUGCCGACGGGCUAAUUAACAUCACCAUUCUAGAUAUAUCAUCAAAGAUUUUCUUUAUUAUUCAAAUUCAACAUUAUCCAAGUACUGAACUUUUUCCCCCAUUUGACGUUAGAUACUGUGGGUACAAUUUGAUGUUAAAUCCCACUAUAAUAUUUCAAUUCACCAUUUGUUCAAGUGCUGAUUUUUAUAGGAGUUAGAAGGUUAUAUGGUUGAGUUAUGAAUGGAAGGAGGAGAAAGAUUAUAAUAUGAUAAUGAUUCACAAUUAUAAAGGGGAAAGUCAAAUUAAAGUAAAGAUUGAAUGGUAAUGACGAAAAUAAUAUAAUUUAAUAAUUGAAAAAAAGAAUUAAUUUAAGAAUGAAAAGGAAUUGGCAUUAUGUGAAGAUACUGAAUGAAAUGGAAGGGAUGGAUGAUGAAGGGUACGGUGGUUACGGAGUACGGAAAUUCCAUUAAGGUGAGAAGAAUCGGAGAUUGAGAUUAGGUUGUCUGCCUUUUUCUACUGUUUCGUAUCGUUUUUUGCUUUGAUGUUUGUCCUCACUUUUUAAUUCCUUUUUCUUUUUUAAUUCUUUUUUGGAAGAAAAUUCCUAAAGGUUAGGUUUAAAAAAGGUUAUCUCUUACGUCCCACUAAAACCGUCUUCGGCCGAAAGGCCCAUUGGUUUUUGUCUUUCUCGCUUGGGCCGCACCCAUUUUUCCACUUCUGACACCAAACUCUCUAAACAAAUACAGAACAAUUUUGGUGAUAAAAGUGUUUAACAUAAAUAUAAUAUGUUCGACAAAUUUUGUUAUAUUUUUAUUUUUAAAAAUGUUUUUAUAUAUGUUAAUGCUUUAACAAAAUUUGUAAAAUAAUAAUAAAAAUAUUUUCUCGAGAAAAUAAUAAAUAACAUUUUUUUAAAAGAUAAAUCAACAAAAACAAUAAGAGUAAUUUAGAUGCAUUGAAAGUGCACAAACAAUUUUGUGUAUGUCAUUAACUAAUUACUUCCUUUUGGUAGAAGAAGGACAUUUCUGUAUGUAGUUUUGGAUGCUUGGUACGCACAGGCAUACAUUUCGUUCUUCAACUCCAAAUGAUUUCGUAUAUGAAUCGUGUCUUUUAAACUAAGAGUAUAUGUGUUGUUUAUCUAAAUAGUUGAAGGUUGCUAAUGACAUUCUUCUUCCCUUCCUCAAGCAUGUAUCCUACUAAUUAAGACUUGCCAUACAUAUGUUCAUGCCUUUACAUUAGUAAAGGUCUAGGUUCCUUUCCCUGGUGAAAGACUUGAGGAAUUUUUUUUGAAAUGAUUGAUUCUCAGGUAAAGUGACAUCUAUUUUAUCUAUGUAUAUUAUCGAUUUGAAAAAUUACAAUGAUGGCCUUUCAACAAUACAAGUUAAAAUUACACACCUAAAACUUUAAACUUAAUUCAUCAUCCUCUCAAACUUACAAAGGUUAGUUGUUCGUGAUAACUAUUAAAAACAAAAAUGGGCCAUGCGUGUGUUAAUAAAAUGUUAGGCAUGAUAGUUGAUUUCAUAACAACAUAUAGUUAGUAAUGAAUGAACAAUGAAAAAAAUUGUUGUGUGUGACAGAAAACAAUUGUGAUUUUCGUAGUCUUAUUUCUUCAAUACUUUAUCAAGAAAAUGCCAAGACACGCGUGGUAACAGUUGCCAUUAAUUACCAACAUAAUAUCAAAUUGAAUUCCACCAAAGUUGUUCAAAAGUCAAAAAUUCCACAUUUUGAUUAAAUCCAUUGUUUCCGUACCCAUUUCUAAUAAUUUCGAAAGUUUAAUACGAAAGAAAUAAAUUAAUAUCAUAUUCUAUUAUCUUUUUCAAAUCUUCAAACAUUGACAUCAACAAUUUAAACCGUUCAUCCGAUUAGACAAAAAGAAGGAAUAUAAAGUGAAAUUUUGCGAUGGAGAGAUUUUGUUCGUUUGGGCGGGAGGGUUUGGAGUUAUUAUUGAUGGAAAGGGUAAUUUGAGUAAAAUUGUAAAGUUGUGGCGGGACGGAAAGAGAUGGGCUGACGUGUUGGUUGUGGACUUCGGAAUGGGUCCAAUGGAUCCAGUCUCCUUCAACUUUGUCGGCCCACAAUACUCUUAACAAUAAUAAUAAUAAUAAUAAUUUAUAUUAUUUGAUUAGAGCAGCCGUACGUCCACAGUAAAAUUAGGGUUGUUUUGUUGCUGUUUAUUAAUUCCAUCCAAUUUUACGUCUCUUUCUAAAACUUCAAUUAACACUCACUAAUUAUGUCAAUUUUAUAAUUGAUUUACUAAAACAUGAGAGAUUUCAAUGUUGAAUCAAUUAAGACUAAUUGUACUGAGAUUUGAAAGGUGACAUUAAUUAUCUAUCUGUUCUUUCCAUCUUGUAAAUGGUAAAUAUGAAAAUAAAGAAUUUAGUGGAAACAAACUUCUAUUUCACACACAUAUAUAUUUGGUAACAAAUUAAAAAAUCGAAUUAUAAUAUAAACAAGAUGUAUCGUAAAAAAUAACAAAGCGACCAAAUUGUACAAAAUCAAGUGUAGUAAGUUUUUGUCGUUUCCUUGUGCUAUGGAUUGUGAAUAGUUUAUUUAUUUUGUAAUCAUUUAAAUAAUGGUGUUUAGAUGCAUUUAUACUAUAUUUAUAAAUAAAUAAAUAAGUUAUAAUUGUGAGAAUUGUCAAAAAUAGCAAAUUUGACAAAAUAUUUACAACAUAUAACAAAAUUUCAAAUUCUACUAAUAAUAAACAUUAAUAGACACUGAUAUGAUUCUAUUAGUGAUAUUGAUAAACAAUUAUAUAAAUUUUUAUCUUGGAUAUAAUCCAAAAUUUUGCUAUAUCUUAUUAAUAUUUUGAUAUUUAAAAAAGUGACUGUCAUAGUUACUCAAUAAAUAUUGAUAUUUAUAAAUAAUAAUGUAUUAUUAAUUUAUUUACCAGCCACGUUAAGUAAUUUUUGUAAUAUCAUAUAAUUUAUAAUACAUGGUAUUUAUAUUUUAAUUGAAAAGAAUAUAUAUUGAGUUUAUAAAGUUCAAAAUUUAAAAUCAUGAUAGAACAAAAUUAUUAUUUGUAGAAACAAAUAUCAACAAAAUGUCAAUAAUUUAAAGAUUAAUGGGGGGUGGUGGUGGUGGUCUGGUUUUGGUAUAUUGUUUAGAAAAAGCCAUUUAUGGGGAAAAUUAAUUGUUAGAAAACAUGGGCUUAUUAGGAAAUAUUUCAACUCUCUUUCUUCCUUCUCAUUUCCCUUAUAUGUAGAGAUGCUUUUUUAUUACACCAACUUUGUGUAUUUGGAUAUAUUUGUUAAUGUAUUAAUUAUUCCAAUCAUUAACAGACAAGUUAAUAGAUAUAUAAAACCAUUCUUGUAUAUAAUAAAAAUGGCUAUAGAGUUUGAAGCAGCCUGAAAAACAUCUCAAGUUUGUAGAAAUUAAAAAAAAGAAAGAAGAAUAAAAACGAUAUUCAUAAUUUCAUAUUAAGAAAAGAUAAUUAAGUAUGGAUGGUCUAUGAGUUGGCCAAUCCAACAAGAGAUAAAUAAAUAAACAAAGGAGAGGCAAAGGGAUUGAUUUUCUUGGAAAUUGGGUAAGUUCAAAACCAACUCAUUCUUUUCCCCAAUCAAUUAUUAUUUAACGUCCCAAUUUCCAAGUUGAUCCAAACUCAAAACACAAAACCAUUAUCAUAUUUAUUAUUUUUGUUCUAAAGUUUAGAGUGUGUGUGUGUGUGACAGUAUAUGAACUGUAUAUUCAUAUCUUCAAAUUUGUAUUCAUAUAUGUUUUAUUUGUGCAGUUUUUUGCUUUCUUUAAUUUGUCAAUUUCACGACACCUUUAGGUUAAGAAAUCAAUGCGUCACACAAACCAAACUAAAAGAAAAGAAAAGAAAAAACUUAUCUUUGAAACAGUCAAAAUAGAAGAUUGAAAUUAUAACAAUAUAGUUUGAUUUAAUUGUCCACUUGAAUGAGAUUAAUUAAGACAUCAUAUUGCAUCCUCAUCUACGUCAACCAAUUAAAGCCCACGUCUUAAAUCGACUAAGAACAUUAAUGAAUUUAAACCAUGAUUAUUGUUUGGAAGAAAACUUCUUAGAAAUUUUUGUAUUGAUAUCUUUUGGAAAGUUAAACACAUAUUGGAAUCUUGUUUUAAUUAUUGUAUAGGAUGAUGUUCAACUUAGGUAUGAACUUUAUCUAAUGUAGUUUAAAGAAUAUGAAAUCCAUAUUUUAAUCAAAUGUGUGUGUGAUCUUAUCCAUAUUUAUAUAAAUAAAAUAAAUGGUCAACUAUAUUGAUCAUUUUUUUUUAAAUUACACAAAUUAAUAAAUAGUUGCAAACAUUGAAACACAUAUCGAAACGUUUUGUAAAUUUAAGAUAUUCUUUAGUAUAAAUCAUACCAUAUAAUGAGAUCGACGUUAUUUAUAAUUUCUUUCAGAUAUAUAUCUAAGAUUACUGUUACAUGUACUUCCAAAAGGAAAAAAAUAAACAACCGUAUUAAUAUUUUGAUAAACUAUUAUAUUGUCUUAACUAGUAGAAAACCAAAAAAAUUUAAUGAGUAUGUAAAAGUAAGAGGUCUAUUGAUCGUAGCAUAUAUGGUUUAUCGUUAAGUUUUAAUUACAAAGUUUGAUAUAAUUUCUUAUAUUAGUUUUUCUACCAAAAAAGAUAGAGAAUUGAUGAACUCAAAGGCUUUGCAGAGUAAUUGGAACGAAAUUAGAGGUUGGAAUUUAAGUAUGACAUCAAAAUGAAUACAUUAAAACCCAUUUUGAGCUUAUAAUCAAUUAAUCUAUGUUCAUAUAUAUAUAUAUACAGAGAGAGAGAGAGAGAGAGAGGAGAGGAGAGAAAGAGUAUGAUAUUUUGGUAUAUAUGAAAGUAACACAUAAUCAAUAAUUGAAUGUAAAAUAAAAUAAUAAAAGUAUGAUUAGGGAAAGAAAAUAAUAAUAUAAACGUUGGGUGGGGGUGGGGUAUCCUAAAACGGGGUUUGAGGAAUUCCACGUGUACCGAAGUGAGGUUGGUUGUAUAGAAAUUCUAUAAAUCCCGGAGUUUGAACAUUUUUGUAACUAAAGAAAAGGAAAAGGAAAAUGAAAGAAUUGAAAGGAAAAGAGAGAAUAUAGUGUAGGAUGAAAUUUUCACAAAGCUUAUAAAAUUAAAAAGAAUUGAAUUAUUGGGUAUCUAUCUCUGCCUCCUCCUUCUCCUUCUCCUUCCCCUUCCCCUUCCCCUUCCCCCCAUCUCUAUCCGGACGAAGCUAUGGGAGCUCUCUCCGAGUUCUUCUCCCACCUCCACACAAUGACCGCAGUCUUCUUCACCCUCUUACUUCUCGAAUUCGUUAUUCUCAUUCGUACCAUCUUCGGCUUAAGACCUAACUCCGACAAGCGCGUAAUCACGACCGCUCAGUUUUUCAAACUCAUCGAAGACAAGAAUCCCACCAUCCGUUUCUCAAAUAAGGUCACCCCAAGUAUCGCCGAUCAGUGUGCCGUUUGCCUCUCUGAAUUCGAGGAAGGAGAGAAGGUACGGAAAUUGCAAUGCAACCACACUUUUCACAAGGAUUGUCUCGAUAAUUGGUUGAAACUCUGUUUCGCUACCUGUCCGCUUUGCCGGAGUAAGGUUUUGCCGGACGAUAUCGUCGCCGGCUACCAUAGGCUUCGAGACCGUGUAGAGUACGACGGCAGUGACGAGGAGCUCAUCUUUUUGUUAUCGGCAUUACAUGGUAACAGUAUAUAUAGAUUUUUCUAGGGCGAAACACCAAUUUUAUUUUGUUUUUAAUCACAGAAUAGAAUUAAACAACAUAGAAUGUUGAUUUUCUGUAGAUUAACUAGGGAAAUAUUGUUUUUCUCCCCUUCAUUGACGAGCAAUAACGUUAAGGGAACAGCUCGUUUCUGGUUCGAUCGAUCUCUCUAGCUAGAUCGAGAUAAAUCUAAAUCGUGUAUGUUUCUCUUUACUUGCAAUUACGCAACCCAACUGUUAGAUGUGUUGUUUGCAUGAUUGCUUCCUACUCUUCUUGGUCAUUCGUCAACGAAUCAUUAAUUUUGGAGACACCCAAUUUACAUCUUGACGGAGACCCUUUUUUUUUUUUUAACCCAAUAACGCACUGAAAUCCUCACUAAAAUCAUCCAAAUCACAACAACUUUUUUCCAUCAGGUUAAACUAAUCCAAAUGAUCUAUUGAGAUCUUUAAGAUAUUGGAUGAUCGUCUAUUAGUCUCUCUUGAUGUGGGCUUGUUGUCUCCGUAGGACCAGGAGUUAUGGUGCGAACUUAAUUCUAUAAUUUUAGUGGAUGCGAGUUGGUGAUCUAAUUUAUGGUUCUCUUACAAUGUAAAUAGAACAUGGUAUGUGAUGGCAUUUAUUAAGAACAUUGAGUGAAAGGAGAAGCAUUCAAAAUUUGAUGGAUUCUCCCUUGAUAUUUUCAUGGGGAUUUAGGUGGAGAUGGUAGGAGAAGGACUUAAUGCUCUGUAUCUAAAUGCACAACAAACUGAUUGAGCUCAUUUUCUCUAUAGUUAAACCCCGAUGGCGAAAGUGAAAACUAAUGGAUUGUGUUUAGCUCACCAGCACAUUUAUCGAAGAAUAGGUUUGCACGUUAAUCGAAAAACUUCAUUUUACACCACUACAACCUAAAGACAAACUUACUAAACACAACAUAUUAACUCUAUACUUAAACAAACUUGAAAUGUUUCUCAUUGGGAUGAUCUGAAACUAAAGCCACAAGCCCCCCUCCCUUUUUUUUUAAUGUUUGGAUCUCGUUACUUCCUCGAAGCUUUUGAAACAGUUUGGAGUUUGUUUUCUUCCACUUUUGAACACCCACCAAAAGAUGAGGGCAACUGAGGACACGGUCUUUAAAGAACAGUGAUUAGGUGAGAUGAGUUGCAUUAUUGAAGUCAGUGUGUUUAACUUUUUAGCAUUACCAGAAUCAGGGGAUGGGUGAAAGAGGAGAAGAAGCAAAGCAAAAACAGGUUUUAGAUGAUGAAGCCAAAUACCUAUUUACUGUUGGUGAGAAUAAGUUUGUCCUAAAUGGGGUUGUGGGAGCUACAGUAGUUCGCAUGAUGUACUGAAUUGUUCUGUAUGUCGGACAAUAGCAAUAAGUUGAAAUGUUAAACAGGCAAAAUCUCGUGGUGGAGCAGCGGAGGGUAAUUCAUAAGAUUUGACAUUUAAUGUCAGAUUCAAAAAAGUGGAUGAACAACUUCAAUAGUAAAGUAAUAGUACCACAAACCAGAAGUAACGCAUAUGGGGGAGAUGAAUCCUUAUCUAUUUUGGAAAUGGGGUUUGUUGUUGGUUUGAUUCAUUCCUUUUUCAAUUUUUCAGGGUUGAAUUUUAUUUGGUGCAUAUCCGUUUCCCUUUUUAACCAUGGAAUAUAUUGCUGAAAAUAAAAAAUAUGACUCUGUUUAGGUCAUGAGUUGGUAAGAAAUUAAGAUGCAACAGAUUCGUUUGGGUAAGAGUAAUAUUUGAUUGAAGAUGUGCGCCCAUUUCUAUGUAUCUCUUUCAAUUACAAAACAAAGAAUGAUUCAAACAAAAUUAAAACAACAUGGGGUAUCCUAAGCAACACAUAUAUAUUCAUCUAAGUGUCCAAUCAUGGAAUAUGCUACGUAUUGUUGUUAUUCCUUUCUUCAAUCGUGGAAUACAUCGUGAAAAUGUUAAAGUGAGCCCUGUCUGUUUAGGUCAUCGGUCAUGAGUUUGGUUAGUAAAGUGCAAUUGAUCUCGUUGAAAAAGAGUAAUGUUAGGGUCAAGUGUUGCAUCUAGUUGUGUAGUUCCUUCAAUUGAUCCAUCAAAAGUUGUCAUGUAAUAAAGUUUCUUUAUUUUUGCUUAAAAAAUUAUUUUAAGCCUCUUUUUGUUUGUGAUGGAAGAAAACAAGUAUAUGUAUACAUACAUUUAUACACGAUAAACUUGUAAUUAAACAUUUGAAAUGCGUCUCACCUGGUGAGUUGAGUUUGAAUUGUGAAGAAAGAAAUAAUUUAAUGAAUUGAUUGAAAGCUACAUUAUAUAUAGGUUGGUUUAUUGAAGUCAUUAAAUAUACAUUAUACAAAGAAGUAAUCUUUUAAAAACACAUGGCCACCACCAACUCCUAUCUGUAAGUUUGGUUCAGGGCUCAAAAUUAGAGACAUUCAGGAUGAUCAACAUCAUCUCUCUCAAUAAAUACAAAUGAUUAUAAGUCGAUUAAAUCUUUCUUUCUACAAUAAGAUAGUUAAAUAAAUGAAUUAAAACUAAUCAUUAUUUUUGCACAUCAAAUCAACCACUAUCACAUUAAAUAAUCAAUAAAUUUGAAGGAAAAAAAAGUCUUAAUCAAUAAAUUUGAAGGAAAAAAAAGUCUUAAUCAAUAAAUUUGAAGGAAAAACAAAGUCUUCGUCAACUUUUAUAAUUGUAAUUUGUGUGGGAGUAUGUAUUUAUAAUAUUUGUCUAAAUAAAAUAACUAUUAAAUUAGCAAGGGUGUUUGAGAUUUAUAGUUGCGUAUUGAUUUUAGAAAAACAAAUUUAAGUACAAUUUUUCUUUUAUAAAAUUGAUAUGAAACUUGUAAACAAAAUUUUUAUAUAUUUAGAAAUGAUUUUGAAUCAUUAUUGUUUAGAUUUUGAAUCAUUAUUGUUAUUAUAUUUUUUGAUUUGAGAAAUAGUUAUGUUAGUAUAUAAUUGUUUGUUUUAUAAAUAAUUUAAUGAUGUACAUUCUUUUAUUCCAAUAUUUUAUAAAAAGAAAACUGAAUUAGACAUCCAUUUUGGGAGUGGUUGAUUGAAAAUCACCCAACAAAAAUUACCAAUAACCUAAUUCGUUUUUUAAACGAUUUUAUAUUUAUUUUAGUUCAUGUCAAACAAGAAAAAGUGAUUUUGGACAAACACAAAAAAGUAUAUAUCUAAAUAUGGUGAUAUGGAUAGUUAUUAUGGCAACCAUGGAUAGAACUUGGAAUCAACUACAACUACAACUUUGGAAACAAAACCAAACCAAAACAAAAUUCAUAAUUCAUUAGAUGAACUUCUUAGUAAAUUAUUUUUAUAUACAUCCGUAUAUAUCCCCAUUAGAUGAUCAAAUUUACACUUUAUAUGAGAUUUAAUGUAGAAAUAGACUUUGGAUGUUCAAAACCUAACUUUUAACAGCUUGGACUUGAAAACAAUGAAUUUGAAAAGUACUUUAAAAAGUAACUUUUCCUUCUUACAAAAAAACCAAACCUAAAUUGACGAAAUUUUGAAUAAAUUAAACCAAAAUGGCCUCUCAGAUAAGACACAAAUGUGUCACCAUAACAACCUUUACCAUCAUUUGAUUUACACUCUUAAUUUCACUUUCACUUUCUUUGAAUGCCACCAAAAUUUCAUAACUAUAUAUCAAUUACAUAAAGAGAUAUCACGACCAUAAUUAUAAUUACGAGUUGAAAAGCUCACAAGGUAAUUUAUUUAAAAUUUUGUCUACGAUUUAAUAUCAAAUAUAAAUAUCAAAUUAUUAUUGAUACCAUCUUAGAUGGUGGAUUGAUCCCAAAUCAUAACUAUGAACAACUAAAUUCAUUGAUUUUUCAAUAUGGGAUCUGAACAGCCUCAUCCAUCCACCAUAUCACAUAUUUAAAAGCACCAACUAAGUGGCCAACUCUCGAUGAUUUCUUGAAAACCAAAUCAUCCAUCUUUUCCCAACAUUCAUAUGGUUAAUUCAAACCCUAUAAUAAUCAUCAAAUCAUAAUACAAUCCCACCCUUCUUCUCUCGAAUUCAAAAGCAUUUCAAAACUAAUAGAAUCCAAAAAAGGAAAAAAGAAAAAAAAAAUGUACAGAUUUGAGAGAGAGAGAGAGAGAGACGAGAAACAUUUACAAUAUAUAUAUAUAUAUAUAAACCCAAUAGAGGAACUCAAGCUGAGAAGAACCCAGUGGAAGCAGCUCGACCAAUUUGAGAUUUGGGUUCAAAAACCCAAUUGAAUUCCGACAUCUCAGCAGAGUAAUUAUGCUUUUUUGCCAUUUCCAUCAUCUUCUUCAUCCUAAUUGAAGUAGCAGUUGCAGAUAUGGAAACCCCAGAAGAACCCAACUCUUGAAGCUCUUGCCUGAUCAUCUCUUGACCUCGCCUUGGAUUCUUCGUCCUCCUCUCGUAUUCCUCUGCUACAAGAAUUGCAAUAUCCGCCAUGGCUGUGAUUUUUCAACUCUCCCUCUUAGUUGAUUUUGAGGAGACCCCUUUAGGAGGAUGACAUAAUUUAUAUUCAGAUUGAGGUAUGAUUGUGGAUAAGGCUGACAAGUCGGUGUAGUGUAUAAAAGAAAUAAAAAAAAGUGACCUUUGAUGACUUAGUCUGGUUUUUUGGGCAUUUUGGUUUUACUUUUUCUAUGGGUGGACCCUUUGUGGAGAAAUUUGAUUGUAUUAUAUUGUAUAUCUAUAAAAUAUACACAUGUAUAUUGUAUUUCAUUGAAGGGUCUUCUUUGAUUGUGCCAAUACCCAAAUAAAGGGGUUUCUUGGCAACAAAGUUGGGAUAGUUGUGUGAAUUAUAAUAGAAUAUAUCAGUAUUUCAAAAUUCUAAUGGAACACGUAUUCUUAAUAAACUUAUAAAGAAUUUACAGAUUGUUAAAUGAUACAAGAAUUGUUAAUUGAGAACAAUGAGAUUAUGUAUAUUGUGAUAGAUAGGAUAGAAAACCUAUCCAUUAUAAUGGAUGUCUUGUGGUGUUUUCAAUGAAGUUGGUGGUGGAAAUUUUGUAGGCAAUAUUCUAGUGGGUUUGGUGGGGGGGAGGAAUGGUAAAAGGCAAUACCAAUAGUUCAGGACUUGUAAAUGAUAAAGAAAAAAAAAAAGAAACCAACUCCACAAUGUUAAUUAUCUCAAACUCUUUCUUAAUAAAUGUCUGUCCUAUUCAACCUUCUCCUUCAAACAAUGAAGAGAGGGUAACUCUUCUUUGCUUUUCAAUAAUAAUAAUAAAAAAAACAUAUCUUUCUUUUGAAGCAAACUAGCAAAAUUGUUGAAAAAAAUAUUGAUAAAUAUAGUCAAAUUUUAUAUAUUUCUUAGUGUAAAAAAUAUGGAAACGGAAAAGCAAAAGGAAAGUGGUUUUUGAGAAUCGGAAAACAGCGAAACUGAGCAAAUGGUUUUGAUCUCAAAAACCAAAACCAUCACCGACAAACGCAUAACACAUCAGAUUCAUGUAACUAAUACGUGUCUAAUUACUAUUUGUUCUUCAAAUUAAUUAUAUAUUUCGUAGUACACAAUACGUGGCAUCAUAUUACUGGUUGUGGGCGGUGACAAGUCCACAGUCCACGCAUUUUCUUUUGUUUACUCUUUUAAAUCAUUCAUGCAUCUUAUUAAUUAGCUUCUAAAUAAUUCAUAAUUUAACCAUAGUAAUCAUAAUAAUGUCAUAAAUUAUACACACAUUUCAAUAAAUUUUAUUAAUGUAAUCAAUUUCAGUGUUUGGCAAAUAAAUUUCACUCUUCCAAUAUAUACCUAUUAAUAAUGAAUUUGAUUGGAGUUUUUCUAGUGCAUUAUUCUAUCCUUGUGAUAUUUAGAAGCACAUAUUUUAUAAUUAGGUUAUUCUUAAUGGAAAGUAAACUAAUGUAGUCAUAGUUAGUACUUAGUAAUUAGGCUGCAACUUACCCACUUGUUUAUAAAUCGAUGGUAAUUUUAGUUAGUGUAUUUCAUUUUAUUACACUUUUUUUUAAUCUAUAUUUCGUAAUCCUAUGAAAAUAAUGAGUUCACCUUGAAUUGAAAAAUUGAGAGUACUCAAUUGGACUGCAUUUGAGAUUUAUGUGAAACUCACUUUCGUUAUUGUUACUAUCACGAUAUUAAUUAGAAUUAUGAUAAAUGUUAUAUUCUUAGUUAUUGUUAUUCGGUAACAAUAACUAGUGAUAAAUUAUGUAUAGCAAGAUUGUAACUAUAGAUGCGAUAACUCGUAAUUGAAACUCAUUUCAAUUGAUUCAUUAAUAAAAUUUCAUUUUUAAAAAAUAAUAAAACUUUUUUUAUUAUGGUUUGGUAAACAUAACUCUAAUGUUAUAACAACUUUCUUUACAUCUCGAUUACAAUAACCAAUUUAGGCGAACAUAUUCCAGUCAAAACUUGAUCUUUUUAUAAUAAAAAUCCUAAGGAAAGUCCACUUUUAAAAUGCUAAGAUGUGCUUAAUAUUUACAAAAGUGUCGUUUUAAAAGAAUUGAAUUAUCUAUCGACUCAUCAGCAAGAAUCUCAUACUUAUCACCAUCCAGUUCUUGACAAAUGGGAGAUAAGAAUGAGAAAUAUAUAUAUAUAUAUAUAUAUAUAUAUACCUGCAGGCCAAGGGAGGUUUAGUUAUUUUUAAAAAGAAUGAUAAAAAUGUGCCUAAGAAAGAGGAAGACGGAAGUGAUAGUAGAAAACUCACAAAUAUAAUAUACUUUAUACUCAGUAAGAGAAACGUUAAAAGCAUAUUAAUUUGGAGACAUUUGUCAGUUUUGAUUGUAGGUAUUCAAAUUCGUUCCCAUUCCCUUUCCUCAAACGGAUAAGACGAAAGAAAGUAAGAAAGAUCACGAGCUUCAUCAAGCUAGCCAUUCUAAGAAUACAGAAGAAAAGGCUGAGGGUGUCACACAUCUGAGAGCAUAUGUAUAGGACUUUCUUGGUCCAAAGUAACUUGUAGUAAGUGCAACUGAGCAGCAAAAGCAUAUGGUGAGUUCAAGCUUCAACAGGUGCUCUUCUGGGCAAAGUGAAAAACUGACACAUUUCAUCUCAUAAAAGGCCAAGAGUUUUGAGCUGUUGAACGUGCUCUGCAGGAAGUGGUGGAGGCAACCAGUCAGAUCCUGUCAUCUCCCCAUCUACAUCUUCCACAACAUAUUCCUGUGAGAAAUCAAAACAUCCCAAAAAUAUAGUAAUCAAUCAAAAACCUAACCAACCAACAUAUUAUUCACAAGUGAAACUUUCUAGUCGUAAUUAGUCCAUUCUUGCCAAUUCAAGAAUAGCACAAAUUGCACAAUUACCAUCCGAAAAUUGCUGGUUGAUCCUCCAACCUCCUACAAAAAUGGUCGAUUCACAAUCAAUCCAUCCAUGGGAAUAUGUCAUUUGGUUUUAGUGUCCCCCACUCCUGUUAUCUUUCUCAUCCCAAAGACCAAUAAGACAGCCCUCGUGAAUGGAUGUGCUCGGCCAGCUGGGCAUCCACCUUCAUCCAUGAUGUUUGGCUUUUAUUUUCAUUUUCUAACGGGGUGUGUUUGGACGACUAGUAAUUUUGCUCUCUUUUAAAUCAUGGGAUUUACUGAAAUUUUUUAAGAGUACUUCUAAUCUAAAACACUUUUCUUUAAUCACACGCAGUUUGAAAAUUUGUAAAAGUAGAUAAAAGGCACUUAAAAAAGUACUUUUAGAUGAAACAUUUCAUUAGUUUUGCUUACAAAAUAAAUGCUUCACUUAAGAACACAUUUUUCAAAAUGAAAUCUCAGACUCGCCCAAAUUUAGUUGGUUCUGUUUAUUUCAAUAGCCAGUCUAGUGUACAGAAAAAGAAACCAUAUUCAAGUAUUUACACUCCUAGCUCAGAGUUUGAAAGUUAUGCACAAAUAAAUCUCAAAAGAGAUCAAUCAACUCACCUUUGUUAGCAUUCUUUUCGCAAGUAUGUGAUAGUGUCGUUGCCAUAUUCGUUGGCCAACCAUGGUAGCCACCAAGACACUAUAGAAUAUACCAAUCACUGUGAACAAACCAAGAACAAUCAAGGCCAUUAUAAGUAAUAAUGGCAGUCCUGCUUCACCAGCACCUCCUAGGCAUCCACAUUCAGUUGCAAUGCUUCCACAACUUUCGAAGCAAGUGGUACAGUCGGUCCACAUACAAAGAGUACCAGGUAAAUGACAGUCUGCACAUAGUCUGGAAAGAUGCAAGAAACACAUAAAAAUAUGAUGCUGGUGAAUAAACUAAAAAUACUAUUGUUUGGAAAAUAUUUCCAGCAUUUAUAUAUUAUAAUUUGAUGAAGAUAGAUAUAACGAGCUUUGAUAAGGAUUUUAGUCAUCAAUCUAAAAUAGCUUGAACGAAUUCUUAGCUUGGCUAAAUAUUGAAUAUUCUAUAUUUCCAGCAACAUUCUUUCACUACAAUGGGACGGGAAGCAGAAUAGAGAAAGAUCAGUCGUGUUAGAGAAUCAUCACUGCAUGGCAGCAGUUAUGCCAAAGAAUGAGCCUACGCUCCUCAACAAGCAUUGUUAAAAUUUGAAAACAAUAAAAUUUUAACAUAAUUAAAAAAGAAACUGCAAAAUAUGGAUUUAUACCCAGGGUGGCAACAACAUAGACACAAUUCUCUACAUGGUUGAGCCAAAUCACUCCUAACUCUUCGAUCAUAACAAGUGAUGAAGCAGCCAGAUACGCCGAGCAAUGCAAAAAAUAAUAAAGCCCCUGCAUAGGAAAUAACGCAAACUAGUAAAAACAGAAUUGAAAGAACUGAAAUAUGUCUUUCGAUUUUGUAGAACAGAAUAGCAUCUAACAUAAAGAAAUAAAAUAAAUUAAAAUUGUCUCUCUACUUUGAGGUUUGUUCAACUUUAAUCCACAUACUUUCAAAUAUUCAAUUUUUGCCCAUGUACAAAGCUUAAUAUUUUUCUAAAAAAAUCAAAAUUGGCUAAAUAAUAACAAUAACUUUCACGUAAAGAAAUAUGAUAUGUGAAUAUAUUUUCAAAAUUUAUAGUGAAAAUGCUAAGAAAUAUCAAAAAAUUAUUUUAAAAAAACAUUAAUAAGCAUGCAGGAGGGACUAAAUUAUAGAUUACUUGAAAAAGUUGAGACAAAAAUUGAUCAUUUAAAAGUACAAGGACUAAAAUUGAACCAAAUUUAAAUUAUAGGGACCAAAUUGAUAUUGCAUAUUUCAAGUUGACUCAAUAUAAUACUCAUACAGUGAAGGACCAUAAUCCAUUAACUACUUCCUCCUUAUGAGGUUCAACAACAAUAUGAAUAAAAUAUUGCGAUAAUGUAAUAAGCACAUUUUUUUCAGCUGUUGUUCUUUGCCCUCAAACUUUCAUUAGUUUUCAUUAAUUUCUAUGAAGCACAAAAGAUUUCCCAUCUCUCUACACACUUUAUCUCACAGGCUUUUUUUCCAUACAUAAUCUCACCCUGGUCUCUCUAGUCUCUACACUCCUCUACUACACAGUUCCUCUCAUCAUCAACUUCUUUCUAAAAAGUAAAAACAACCUCUCAACAAUUCUUCUCACUAUCACAACUUUUACAAUUUUAGAUACACCCCGACUAGUAGCUUACCAAUUCUUAAUAUACUUUUAAUUAAAACUUAAAAGACACUCCUUUCUAACUAAAGCACACCGCAAAAGUACUUAAAAAGUUAGAAUUAAAUAAGCAAACGAUAUAUUAUUACUUAUCAUCAAAGUUCUUAUGUUAAAAGUUCUUUGGAUGUGAACCCAUAAAAGUCAGAAGCGCUCUAAGCAGACCAGCAAACAAGGUCACUAAGACAAACUGCUUGAAGCUAUGGGCCAAACAAGAUUAUGCCCUAAUGCUAUAACAUAAAUUGUGCAUGCAAAGCUUGAAUCAGCCAAUUGAGAUUUUACCGCAUAUGUAAUAAAAACUAAUUUUGCUAUCAAAACCCCAAGUAAGACGAAGCCAGUAAUGUUGACAACCAUCUAUUAAGUAUGUCAAAUAUCCCAGAGAAGCAAUUACCUGCACAAAGAUAAACAAAGGAAUAUAAACUAUUCUACAGAAAAAUAAUCUCAUGCUACAACAUAACUUGGUUUGGCAAUAAAUUAAAUAGAAACAAAAUAAAACUUACAAGCUGAACCGCCAAAAAUAUAAAUAUAAUGUCUCUAGUCACAAAAAAUCGAAAUUUCAGGGUUCGCCAUUUUCUGUCAGCAACAGCAUGUACUCUCAAAUGGUAAGGGGCCUUACAUGUGGUACAGUGAGCAAAAGCAAACCCUUCCUGCAAUUUUAAUCACGGAUGACCAAAUGUAACUAAAUGAUGGCUAUAGAAAUUUCCUUAUUUAUUUUCCUAAAUAAACAUAGAACCAGUCUAAGAAGACAAAAACGAGACUGUAAAUAUGACUGGUGCGGGCGGAUACAAAUACCGCCCAAGAGUAGUGAUAUUCUUUAUUUUGUUAAUUACCCUAAAUUAGAGUCAAUCGUGUGAUAAAAAUUGAAACUUAAAAAAUGCUGGUGCAAGGAGAACAGAGUUAAUAAUGGCAAAAUACGAGUUAAUUUCUUAAGCAAUAAAAGGUAUCGUAACAAUCACUUGUUAAGGCUGAACUUAGUCAUUAAGGUGAGGAAAAUAUAACCAUGCAAAUUCAGGGAAUCAUGGGUGUAUUAUCAGCAACUUCAUUUGAAAAUUCAAUCACAAUAACUAAACUUACAUUGAAACCACCAGCAUUCAAGAUAGCAUUCAUACCUUCACGGCUCGCCAAUGAUCCAGACAUUCUCGAUGAACAUAUUUGGAUGUCCCUUUGCAUUUGCAAGGAGCAAUAAAAUCCCUACCUGAUCAUGUAAUGAAACACGCACAUUGGUUAAUUUAAAUACUCCCAUAGUCUCAGUGUGAUACCCCCCUCUCCUACCGUUAUACAAACUUUCAAGUGAACAGUCAACUCCAAAGAAUUCUAAAGCACGAAUGGCCAAGUGGAUGGGGAAUGUUAACAUCGCUUGUCAAACGAUCAAAUUAACGAAUUUUUAACACCGAAGAACCUAAUUAAUUAGACUUCAAGUCUCACGGUAUUGAAAGAAACAAUGAUCAUAAGAAAACACAUCGUAAUUUCGGAAAAUUAAGAUUCUAGGGUCCAAAGAACUUCGCCUAAAACGCUGCACUGAGCCAUUGAUUAUAAAGCAAGCAGAAGAAAUUAGGUUCCACAAUGAUUUCCCGGAAGGAAAAUGUGGAACAUACCCAAACGAAAACAACCCCACCAACCGUACGAAAACAGUCGAAACCUAACAAAAACUGAAAAACAUAGGAACGAGGAAUUACCAUCGGUCUCAAGGCAAAUUCUACACUGAAUUUGUUCCCCUUGACCAGCUUCAAGGUCGAUCUCACUAGGGUCGGUGAUCGGCGCCGGAGGAAUAAGAGGGGAAGAAUCUGACGGUUGACCCGCCAUAAGGAGUUAAGAAGCGGAAAAACACAAAAAAAAAAAAAAAAUGGUGGGAAAAAAGUGGAGGAGAAUUAGGAUAGCAUGAAGAAGAAAUAAGGGAUCUCCAUGUAAAAGAGUUGUAAGCCCAGAGAGAAUAAUAAUGGUGAAGCAGGAAGAAAGCAAGAGAUUGUGUAGAAGUGUAGAGCAGAAAGUGGUUGAAUGUCUUUCUUCCCAAAAUGGCCACAGCCUUCACCAUUUUUUGACCAACUUAUCCUUCAAUCCCUUAAAACUCUUUUCUAUUUCUAUCACAUCAAAUUUUAUAACUCAUUCUUUUUUUUUUUUUUUUUUCAAUUACAAAAUUUUAUAUCAAUUUAGUUCAUAAAUAUUUUAAUACUAUGAAGCUGGAGUAUGAAGUUUUGUUUGCCAACAAAUUGGCUUAUAAACAGUCACAAUCAUAACUACUAUAUAUAAAUUGAAAUUUGAAUUAUUGUUUGUUUUUUUUUAAUUUUUAAUUUAAGUAUUGAUUCGAUGCCUUUUCAAAAAUACCAAAUCCUCACAACUUUUUUCAUUAAAUUUAAGUUUUCUUUUUCUAUCCACAACAAUUCCAACGUAAAAAUGAUAAAUGUGUUGUAACUUCUAUAAGAAAUCUUUUUUAUAAGAAAAACAAAUUAUCUAUACGUUACACGUAAUUUGCAGUUAGUUGGGUUUAUAUGAUAAAUUUACAAUACCUUAGUUUAUUACUUGGUAUAAGAAUAAUAAAAAUCUAUUUACGUAAUAUUUAUAAUAUUAUCAUUAUUAUUUAACAUUUCUUUGGUUAUUUUUAUAAUGUUGUCCUUAUUACUUAUUAUUUAACAUUACUUUGGUUUUUCUCCAAUGAUAAUUAUUUAUUAAUAAAAUGUGAUCUCCUUUCAUUAUCAAAAAGAAAUAUAAAAAAAUCUGAACUCAUAUUACUCUUUUAUUUCCUUUGUUGCCCUUUACCCUUUAUAUGAAAAAUAGGGAGAGAAUAGUUUAAACAAUGUGAUUUGGGCAGCGAAAAGUGAACUCCUUCCAUUAUCAAAUUAAUUAAAGCAUUGAAACUAAUCGCCGUUUAUCACUGCUGCAGCUAAAAAAGUUCAAAGGUACUCUAAAAUUAUGCAGCGGAGACAUAAUUACUAAUUUGGAACACAUCCUAACAAACGUUCUCAAGAAGCUAAAAUAAAAAUUUUUAAAAGAAAAAAAAAAAAACCCAAAAGUCGGGGGAACAAAGCUACAUAUGAAAAGUGUCUAUGUCCGCUUUUUCAUCUCCCUAUUUUUUUUUACUUCUUCCUCUUCUUGGGAGGCUGGAGUGCUUCCUCGUCUUCGUCCUCGUCCUCUUCGUCCUCGUCAUCUGCUACUUCGUCUUCAUCCUCUCCACCAUCAUCAUCGUCGUCGUCAUCACCAUCUUCGUCGUCGUCAUCCUCAUCGCCAUCAUCGUUAUCAUCAUCAUCAUCACCAUCAUCGUCUUGAUCCUCCUCCCCGUCAAACUCUUCUUCUUCCUCUCCAUUCUCUUCCGCCCCACCAGCUCCACCCUCUGGAUUCUUCUUAGAAUUACUUUUGUUAUUAUCGUUGAGGUUGUUGGUGUAGUCAUCUCCAUCUUCAGAUGAUAAAUCCUCUUCACCUUCACCUUCACUCAAGUCGCCAUCCCCAUCACCUUCAUCGUCAUCAUCAACAUCUCCUCCAGCAUCGAGCGGUGUGGACGAGGGGCACAGGGUGGAACUAUCUCCUUUCAUUUCAGGAUUGAUCAGAAAUGCACCAAGAGAAUCCUGCAACAAAAUUCCCAAGAGUACAAUGGUCCAUAAGGUUAAGCAUGUCAGCGACCAAAAACAUCACUUCAAAAAUGGUCGUUGCAAUCAAAGAAAAACAGACAGAGAAACCACACAAGGACUAUCAAUUUCUAUGUUCCUUAUACACUUGAACUCAACAUAGUAGGCAAUAGAUUUUAAUGAAAACAUUAAUGCUAAAACAACGUAGCCGCUACCAGUUCACCUGAAUUUCCUUUUAAAAAGUCAAAUUGAUAGUAAUGCCUCAGAAUUUCUUUUGUUUUACAAUUUCAAAACAUGAUGAUUAGUAACGAUAAGGACAUAUUAAAAUAUUUAACAGAAUAUGAUGGGACAUAUUAACAGAAAUGAAUAGUAUGGCAGGCGUACAUUUGUUUAUUCCCCCCCGUCUCAGUCCUCCAAUUUGACAAUCUCUGUUUUUACUUUAACCUCCUCCCCUUUUUAUUUUAUUUUUUCCCCAUGUCUUUUCUUGUCGGGAUCUGGUCACCAACCAAAGUGAUAAAGAACCCACUUUAACGUUUAAAUUACCCACUAAUUUUAAUCAGCUACUUCAAUUGAAUGUCAUAAAUGGCAUCCAUUAAGAAGCAGAAAGGCAGAGGAUGGUGGGAAGGGAAUAAACUUCCCAAUCACAAUCGGGCGGGCACUAUCAUAAGCUAGAAAUAGAUACAGGAAGAUGAAAAGAUAAUCUUUUGGGCACUAGAAACCACGUAUUAAGAUUGAUUCCUAAUCCAACAAUUCUCAAAAAAGUCGCAAAGUACUCCAAGAAUUAUUCGACACCGAGUCCAAAGCAUAAUAUUCCAACAACAAAAGAAAAAGGUGACAUCUCCCUAUCUUAACAAUUGUUUAGUGAAAUAUUUCACAUGAAACGAAUAAACUUUGGAGCAUAGCUUUAUUUAUUUUAUUCUUAAAUGGAAAUAAAAUGAAAUUCCGUGUCAAUCAUCAAUAGUAUCUUCAACCACUGAAAUGAAGUGAAUUAAAAGAGGGAUAUGGCGUGUCAUUCAAGUUGUCGGUUGAGGGUCAUUUCCGUAAAUUCAGCAUCAAACCUCAACGAACCCAUCAAGUGGGGUCAAGAAAAUGAUGGCCCAAUAGCAAAAAAACAAAGGGAGAAAGAUAAAUCCAAAAGAAUCAAUCCCAUGACGCGUGAUUACAGUAAUUUCCUUGAAAAAAUAAAAAUGAAAAGUUUUCAACUUUUUAUUUUAUUAAUUUGUAGAAAAAGUUUUUGUUUUUUGGGUUUGAAAAGAUCAACCAAAAUAAUCUAAUGGAAGCCGUACGAUGGGAAUCAGUUAGCCAAACGGAAGGAGUGGCAGUGAAUGGAUCUGUUGGAUAUUUUUCUCACCUAUCCUACAGCUUACUUUAUCGACUAAGGCUCAGCCGAAAUCGGCAAACAUCAAAACGGUUGGCCGAAGCCGGGGGACUUCCAUAAAAAAACACACAAAAAACCAUCCAGUAAAAACCCAUUUGAAACAUAAUUUUUCCUCGAUAUGAAAAGCAUAUCAACUAGAAACAUUCAUUAACUGGGCAGAUAGAACUCAGAAAUUACAGAUAAGGUGGUAAUUAAAAAGGUUAGAGACAGAGAGGGGCCUUGCCUGAGCCAGGCGCUGGGUGUUGACCAGAGCCGAAGCUAGUAAAGCAGCUAAGCAAUUACUGGCGCAUGCCAGUGAGCCAUCACCGAGCGUGACACCUAAUGAAGCAUUUGCUAUCUCCAUUCGCGCGGCGACUGUUCCCUGCAAAUGGAUCAAAAAACACUGAUGAGAGAUGUGGUCGCCGUCAGAUCUGUCUCCAAAAAUUCAACAGCCGUUAAAAAAUGAAAAAAUGAAAACCUAAAAAUUAUAACAAAACAUAACUCCACCGGAAAUUCUCUCAGUCUCUCAGUCUCUCAGUCAGCCCCUUCCCCUACCGUGUUGAUUUGGUAGUUUCUACCGCCUAUCCUGAGGUUUGACCGCAGACAAUAAAUCCAAAAAGACUCAUUCUAAGACAUAUUCAAAUACCUUUUUUAAAAAGAGCAUAAGAAGUUUUCUGACGCAUCCUCUAACAAGCAGAGGGACCUAAACUUUCAGUGAAGCAAAAAAUUCCAGUGUUCAUAAAGUCAACGGUAAAUCCAUCCCAAAAGUUACAAAAAGCGUAGAUAUACGAGAAAUUAAACUCCACACAGCACAGAAAUUCAGUUAAGUCGUUCAGAAACGACCCCGAAACACUAGUAAAGUGAAGAACAGCAAAGAAGGUGAAGCAAAAAAAGCAGAAAACAAGAAAAGAUGAAGCUCAAAUAGGGGAAACAAAACAGAAACAGAUAGAAGGAAGAAAAAAAAGGAAUUAAGAGAAAAAGCAUACCGAGAAGAGAGAUCAGAGCAGAGAGAUGGUAGAUCUGGAGGUAUGGAGAUCUAAAACCACAGAAAAGAAGGAGGAGAAGGGAGGUUCAUUGUGGACCGUCGGAUCGAGAUCGAAAAGACAAAAGAGAAACGAAGAUAUAGAAUUAUCGGCGGCACUCAGAGAAGGGGGGGGGGGGGGGGGUUGAGAGGGAAAGAGGUGAGAGAGGGGAAGUGAGAGAAGCGAGUGCGAUUACUGGAGACCGACUGCCCGUAAUUUUCCAGUCCGGUAUCGGGCAGAUCGGGCAGCGUCGUAAUCUUGUAAAAAAGACCGCGUUUUAAGCUGCCCAAUGAGCCUCGAUGGACAGGUGUGGGUUCGGAUAAACUUUUCUCUUCUAUUUUUCCCUUUGGUCCUUUCUUUUUUUCCUUUUUACUUUUUCAGCAACCAGUUUUUCCAUUUAUUACACAAACCUUCCUCCAACGAAAACUGUCUUUUUCAUAAAGUCUUCGUCCCCCCCCUUUUUUUCUUUUUUCCUUCCCCCCCUCUUCUUCUUCUUCUUCUUCCUCUUCCUCUUUUAAAUCAUUCUUAUUUAAAUUUAAUAUGGCUUCAACUUUAAGCAUCUGAACAACUCUUUAUCUUCAGACUAAAAGUAUAGUAUUCAAAUUAUUAUUAUUCCUAAAUAAGAACAGUAUCGUCAGACCAGACUCAGUCCACCAGGAACUCCACAUCCUUGAUUAUAAAUUAAUAUCAAUGAAAGGAUAUUGUUAAUUUAAGAAUAAACCGAUAGAGCUUAGAUUUUAAGCAAGAGGGAGGUAUGGGCCUGUUUUAACAACCAGGCCCAGGCCCAUUCUUGGUCCAAUUAACCAUCUUCUUCUGGAAGGAUCAAAAGCUCCUCCACUUUAAAACCAUGGAAGAUGUUUAAUAACCCUAAUCCAUGUAUUUUCAGGAAUGGGGACACAGAUGGCUUAUAUUUUAAAUUUUCAAAACAAUUACCUUUUGAAAUAUGUCAUUACCCGUAGUUAUAAUCUAUGAACUAAAUGCAGUCAUGGUAGGUUCUUUGGCAAAGCAGAGAACGCCUUCUCUGGAAAAGGUUCGGAUAAAAGAAUAAUAGAAACUACAAAAUAAAUAUCACACGGGAAGCCUCGGUUCUUAUUUUGUUAUAAAUCAAUAGGUUGAAGCAAACUUAGCUCAACUUGCAUUUCCUUUCUUAAGAGAAUGAAGAUUUGAUUCAUUUUCGUUAUUAUACUAAAAAAACCAAUAAAAACUUAUCUCGAGACAACGAUUCAAUGUAUUUAUAAAUGUAGAAUAAAUGUUAGGUGAGGUGUGAUUCAAAAUUUAAAAGUUAAAAGGACAAACUUGUAAGGAAGUUAAAAAUUAGAUAUAACAUAAAAUUGGAGGAGCAAAUUAUGAAAGAAAGGAUAUAAGUUCAAUAAACCACAAACAAUAUGGAUUUUAUUGUUUAUGUGCUUUUGGGCAUAAAUUUGGGAGCUGUCUUUUGAAAUGAACCACCACUGGCAUCUAUCUAAUACAUAUUCUGCAGUAGUCAAACAUAGGAAUGCUGUAAAAGAAAAAAGAAAGAAAGAAAUGUUCUUGUUUGAUUAGUGGACCAAACUAUAUGCUCCCACCACCAAGUGAUUACAUAAUAUACUAAUUGGUAUAGCAAAACUUGGAUGCUUCUCAUACACCAUCUUUUUGGUGUACACCUAAAUCUCAUAACAAAAAAAUAGGUUUCUAUGUAGCAAACUAUAGUUGAACUAGUAGAUUUUGAAACCUAAGAAUCAAAAUAGAUAUCAAACUGAUGGAAGAACUCAAAAUUCAAAAGUAAAAAUAUAACCUUUUGAAAUCUAAAGAUCAAAAUAGAUAUUAAACUAACUCAAAACAAACAUUACUUUUAUUUCUGUUUUUUAUAUAAUACAGUGACAUAGUUAUUAUUUCCACAAUGAAUUGAGGUGUCAACUUGUCACUAAUACAUUGGAGAGAUCGUUAAAUAGACUAAAACGUUAUAAACUCACCAUUUAUCACGGCAGUUUAUAAAAAUGGAAGUUGUAAAAGAGAUCCAAAGAAAUCAAAGUCUUCAAAAGCCAGCAGGAGCCCCACCCUUUCUGGGGUCACUUACAGCAACAAGCUUCCCGAAGCCAUCACCUUGUCUCAAUGAGCUAGAACCUUGAACAAUGAACUGACAAAUUGUUCCUCCGGCAAGCCCUUCUAAGACGUGACCUUUCUUCGCAAGGACUGCCCUUGUUUCAGCCGGAACUUCAAAAUGAUCCCCCAGCACAGUGGUCCAGUUCUCAUAGUUCAAAAUGUUUGGAACCAGCUGUUCGUUUACCAAAUUAUAUUAAUUCCCAAACUUCAAAUUGCACUUCAGUGACUAAUAUUUUAGUGUAAGAAUGUUUGGAUCAGAUGAACAAAUGGAGGAAUAUUAUGAGAUGGGUUGGUGAAGGGAAGCUAGAUGAUGAAACGAACCUGAUGGUAAACUCUGGGAGCCAUCACAGAUGAGAAAGGACUCAUUCCUUUUGCAAAAUGAUUCAACAAAACCUCUGCUGUUCCAGCAAUGAUGAAGCCUCCUCCACUUGCACCGACCACAGCUUUCAGUUGACCAUUCUGUGGAUGAGUUUUACGAAAAUCUUCGAUUAUAACAUAUUUAUAGAGAGAGUGAAAUUUGGAAUUCAAGUUCAUUUGUGAUUGGAGGAAAUUAGAAUGAAAAGGGACCUUUAGAACAAUAGUAGGAGACAUGGAUGACAAUGGCCUUUUUCCUGGCCUAAUGAAAUUGGCUGGUGCUGGUGGAAGUUGAUUAGCAGAAACAUUAGCCGGGAUAGCAAAAUCGUCCAUUUCAUUGUUCAAGACUAUUCCUGUACUUGGGGACAGUAUAUGUGCUCCAAAAUAGUAGUUCACAGUGGUAGUCAUGGAGACGGCAUUUCGUUCUCCAUCGACUACAGACAAAUGACUGGUUCCAUGGUCAUUGAUUGGAUUCCAUCUGUUACAAACAGAAUAUAUGUUACCAACAGGCUCAACUCAAAGGAAGAAAGUAGAGAUAGAAGGUCUUGCUUGGAACGACGAGGAAGCACUUGGAAAUGCUUACAUUUAUAUGAGGAUAUAAAGGAAAUACUAACGGCGAAUCCAUGUAGGAGCACUGACCUGCCACCAUAAUGGCUUGGAUGAAAAGUUUUGUUGUCAUUGAUGGUUUUCUUCAAUUGUUCAGCAAAUUUGGGUGAGAGCAUAUCAGAAAGAACUUCGGUAACAUUGUAGAAAUCAGGGUCACCGAGGUUCGUCCUUACUGCAACCACAUGUUUCAAUGCUUCAAUCUCCCGAUGGAUACCAAGAGGGCCCAAAAGCCCUGAAGGCAGUUUAUAUUGAGCCAGAAUAUUAAGCAUCUGCAGUAGAACGUGGUGUUACUAACAAAAUGAACUUUUAACAAAACUGCUCAUAAAGACAAGACAACAAACUUACAAGGAUCACUCCAGAGCCUCCUGAAGGAGGAGGCAUGGUGGUUAUCUCGAGAUCCAUUGUACGAGAUAAGAUGGGGACUCUAGUUUUAACUUGAUAACUCUGCAAGUCCUUCAUUGACAGUAACCCUCCAAGCUUCCUGAUGUCUCUUAUCAAGUUAAUUCCGAUCGAACCAUUAUAGAAGGCACUGACACCAAAUCUAGAAAUAGUUCUUAGAGUUUCUGCCAGUUUCUGGUUGCGGACAAUAUCUCCCUGUUUCAACAAUUUUCCACCUGAUGUUAACAAGUUCCUGAGCCCUUCAUCCCCUAAGAUCCCUGAUUCUGUUCUAACCAUCUGCAUAUGAAGGUAUGGAGAUAUUUUAAACCCCAAGCGAGCAAGACGUUCAGCUGGUUGAACAAGCCUUGCCCAUGGAAGCUUUCCAUGUUGUUUCCAAGCCUCAUGAAGCCCUGCAAGUUCUCCUGGAACGGCAAUGGAAAGGGCUCCGGAUGCUUUUGAUGCAACAUUGCCAGCAUACAUAUUCUGUAUAUGAAUGCAAAAAAAUUUAAGAAACUGAUUCAAUGAGAAAUUUUGGAUGAGUGAAGUUAUCAGGUUGUGUAUAGCCAAUUGAUAACAACUCAUUAUUCAUCAGUUUCCAAAUGUUAAAACUCAAAAGUUACACCCAAAAGACUUUUAAGCAUAUGCUCGUGUAAAGUUCAACACAAUGAUGAUGAAAGAUAUGAACUACUUAAAUAACACUAUUCAAUGCCAUCAAACUAUCAAUCACUAUACAACAUUUGAAUUUCAGACAUGAAUGAACAACAUGAGCUUUCCAACAACAAUAAAAUGAGCAAGAAGACUAUAUGACCAUUGUGCUUCUUUUUUUCUUCAUGAAAAAUGAUUAAGUUGGAAAUCUAACAAAGAAGAAGAAAAAAGCGGAGUACCAUUUACCUCAGAAGCUAGCAAAGGUGCGGUCUCCCUCAUAUCGAAAGCCUGAGCUUUUCCACUGGCUGAUCUGAUCAGCAUAAAGGCUCCUCCACCAAUGCCACUUGAUGCAGGACUAACAACCCCCAGGCAAAGAGCAGCAGCCACUGAUGCAUCAACAGCAUGUCCUCCUUCGCGUAGAACAUCCAUACCAAUUUUGGAGCAACGGCGAUCAUCUGCGGCAACGGCACCAUGGCUUGCUACAACAACUUCAGGUCGAGCUAUGGAGGUCGGAGUCAGUAACCCAAUAGAAACAAGAACAAUCACAAGCCACCGUAUCAACAUUGCUGCAGCCACACAUGCAAACCAUUAUAGAUUACUCAGUAAAUAAUACUGAUCAGUUUAAUUGGGAAAAAAAAAUGUAAAUCACUAUCAGGAGAGCAUACAUUGAUAUAUUCUUGCUGGCCAAACUAUGUUUAAAGAUAUGAUACAGAAUAAAGGUUUUAAUUAAUUUUUAAAGUUUUUCAAAUCAGCCCAUUUGCCGAGGAUUUAUAAUUAUAUUAAAAGCAACGUAACUAAAACCGUGAUUACGAUCAGGGGCGCAUUCAUUGACUUUUGAAGGCCAAACCAUGUUUAAAAAGAGCAAAAUGGCUUUGAUCUUUUAUACAGUUUUCUAAAUCAGCCCAUGUGGAAUUUGAAAAUAAUGCCAGAAGCAGCACAAGUAAAAUGAUUUCAGUAUCUUUAAGGUGCAAAACAAUUCCUUAGACCAUGUUUUGUUCCUGUAUUGAUGAGAACAAGAUUUUGAAAAUAGAACACGCCACAAAAGAUAAGAUUGAAUUUAGUGCGUUUGUUGGCCUUAGAAGUUCAUUUGGCAGUAAAAUUUGCCAAGUGGAUGUUUAUGUGGAAAUUUCUGUUUGGUACUUGGAAUGAAAAGAAUCUGUGGCAGAAUCUAACUGCUAGAAGUUGACAAAUUGGAAAAGAUUUUCUAAGAGAGACGGUAAGCGGAUGAAGAAAGAAUGAUUAGAACAAUAGAGAAAAUGAACAAAUAGUGUACAAGCUCAUGCCUAUGGAGGGAAAAAGGGUGGCCGUGUUAUUUCUUCUAGAAAAUUUUGAGUGAAAAUGUUUUAGAUGGCAAUGCUAUUGAAAAUGUUUUUUUUAAAGAAGUAAAAUUUUGUUAGAUAUGCUAUAUUUAAAACCAUUCCAAACUAUAAUGUUAUAUUAUUACUAAAACUAAAAUAACUCAAUGUUUAAUUUUAUCAUUUUGUUAAAAUUAAUUUUAAAUAAUUAAAAACCUUUUUUCUAAAAUAAUUUUGAAAAUAACAAAAUCCAUAAAACCUAUACCACCGUCCAAAUCUAAUUCAAAACACCAAUUAUCAUUUAAAUGUGAAUAUCCUUCCUAAAAAAAUGUCAAAAAAGUAAGCCACCACAAAGUGACGGUGAUUAUAAGUACAAAGUUUGUAAAAAUAGUAAAAAAAUUAUGAUAAUAGAGUUCAUGUCACUUAUCUUUUUAAAAUUGUAAAAAUAACAAAUUUAGAUAUAAAAUAUAUAUAUAUAAAAAUAAAAAAUAUGUUAUUAACUGUUUUUUACUCAAUUUUUUAUUAGCUGUUUUUUACUAAAUAUUUUUAUCAUCCAAUCCAAUUUUCUAAAAAUAUCUCCCAAUUUGUAUAGUUGUUAAAAUUGGCGUUGUAACCUUGUAGAAGUUUGACCAAACAUUUGCAAAGAGCUUUCCGGACGAUCUACGCCAUCGUCGUUACGUUGGUCCUCAAAUUACUAUUCUCACUCUUCGCACCCCCAAAUGUAUAAUCAUUCUCCCCACUAAUAUUACUUCAAUUUUCCAUGGAAGAUUGAAAUGAGUUCAAUUUGAGGAAAAACCUUUCCCCAAGAUUCUGCCAUGAAUGAUUUCAGAACGACGAAAUAAAAUGGAGAGUUCUGACUCAAAUCACCAAUUUAUAACCACAAACAAAAACCCAGAAACCAAAAGGCGAGAAUGGAUCACGUUGAAGCAAGAUUGAAAUUACUCAUUCAAACAGUGACUCACUUGGGAUGAUUUAUUGGCUAAGUAAGAGAAUCAGCUCGAAUCCGCCCUUUCUUGUCGUCUUCUUCUUUCCGUAGUCGAUUUAUUUGGCAGCAGCCUUGUUCUUUCCUGGGAAUUAAAGAAGAAAAGCAAUCGCAAUAAGGAAGUUGCAUUGACAAUGGGUGAAAAACAGGAAAGAAGGCGAUAUAUCGUUAUCAUAAUCGACGACUUUCGUGACAAUUUUUGGGCGUUGUUUUUUUAUGAAUCGGAUAAAUUAGGAUUUAGGGUCUAGUUUUCAUCUUUUGCGGUUUCGUCGAAGUUCACUUUACCUUGUAAAUUCUGCACUCCACAUUUCUCGAGUCGUUCGUUUCAGAUAAUUUUCCGAAUUUUCAAGGGCUAAAACUACGUCCUGAUUAUCCAGAGGAAAAGAGCCGUUGAUCAUCCGAUUCGACCCAACUUGGCGGAUUGAUGAGAGAUUAGAGAAGAAUCAAAAGAGGUCGCAUAGUGCGAUAGUUACUCUAGGAAUCUUCCACCAUGUGAACCUUUUUUCCAUGGACCUUUGAAAAAGUUUGAAACUUUCUUUGUUAGAACUUUAUUUCCAUCGUGCGAUAUUUCGUGGAUAAUACUAAGAUACAAAAUCUUGUAAUCUAAAAGUAAAAGAAUCUAAGUCAGUGACUUGAUAAUUUUACUUAUUCUAUGCUUGAAUUUCAUGAGUAACUCAGCAAACCCCGUCUACAAGAUACAAUCAACCAUCCUUUGUGAAAACACUCUGAAAGUUUUGAAUAAAAGGUGAUGAAAAAGUGGUUCUAAAAUGCCAUUUGAAAAAGAAAAAGACACAUUAAUGAACUAUUUGUUAGCAUUCAAAUACUUCGUUCUUAGUUAAUUAUGAAAUUCGAAAAGACAUGUUCAUUGCAACCACAACCUAAAAGUACAUCUUCUGCCUAACUUUAUUUGGGUUAAUCCUAUGCCAAAACGAGUAUCCCCUCCGUCCAAGAAAAAUCUACAAUCCUACUUUACAAUCUCAAAAUGAACCUUUUCUCUCCUUAUAAACAUUAUUAUUUUAUUUCUUUCCACUGAUUUAAAUUCAUUCUGCUAACAUGUCUUUUAACAAUGGAAGCUAUUGAAGAGAUCCAAGAAUUCACAAUCUCAAAGCCAGCCGGAGCCCCACCUUUCCUUGGAUCACUUACUACCACAAGUUUAUCCACGCCACCACCUUGUCUCACUCACCCAAAACUUUGAACAAUGAACCGACGAACUGUCUCUUCUAAGACACGACCCUUCUUAUCAAGGUCUGCCCUUGUUUUAGCAGGCACUUCAAAAUGACCCCCAAACACAUUGGUCCAAUUCCGCAUAGUUCAAAAUGUUUGGAAUCAGCUGUUUGUUUGCUUCAAUUCAACAAAAAAUGUAUUAGUUCCCAAAUGACUAACAUCUAGUAGUGCAAGAAGGUUUAGAUCGGAUGAAUCGAUAUAGAAGUAUUACAAGACGGAUCGGAGAAGGAGCGCAUUAACCGGAUGAUAAACUUAAGGAGUCAUCACAAAAUGAUUCAACAAAACCUCUGCUACUCCAGCAAUGAUGAAGGCUCCUCCACUUGCACCAACCACAGCUUUUAGUUGACCAUCUUGUAGAUGAAAUUAAGUUCAAAGAAAUCUUCAAUUACAAGACACCUAUAAAGGUAGUAACAUUUUGAAAUUCAAGUUAAGAAAUUAGAAUGAAAAGAACACCUUUAGGAGAUAGUAGGAGACAUGGAUGAUAAUGGCCUUUUCCCACAGUCAGCGAGACAGCGUUAUCAAGUGUUGAAUAAAGAAGUUGGGCUGAAUUUCAUCACCUUCUGGGCUGGAGGCCCAUUAUAGGCCCAUAUAUAAUAUCCGACCCGCGUUGUUCGCAUCCCGUCAACAUUGCUAUUAUUCAAUUUCAAACCACCAUCUUUCUCCCGCCCAAUCUUCUUGCCCACGUCUCAACAUCGGUUCUUCGGCAGAGCUCAAAAAGAGGAAGAGAGAGAUUUACCGGUGUAAAUUAAUCCAUUUUUUUCCGUCUCCGGCAGCUACAUUUCUUCAUGUUUUAGAAUCCCACUGCGAACUUCAAUUAAUUUCACUGUGCACUACAUUAGGGUUUGAAAGUUUUUGUACAGUUGAAAAUCCAGUGACGAAGUACGGAUUCAUCUCAGAAUGCUGCAAUCUGAGUAGUCCAGUAAAGCCAAGAAAGACUGGUAGCUGAGAAUGGCAAGGCGAAAGGCGAAGAAAACGGUUAAGAAGUCCAGCCCUUCACCUAUACUAGAAGCAAAGGAUGAAGCAGCGAAUGACGAGGAUGGUAUGUUGAAAUUCGUGGUGAUUUCGAUUCUUUUACUGAAGCCGGAAUUUAAUUGAAAGAAAAUUGUUUUGUUUCUCUUCCCGUUAACAUAAUUGUUCCUCUGUUUUCCCUUUUACUCGUGUUUAGUUGAACGGCAUGCUGCUGCAAUCCGUGCCAUUCGGGAUGUGGAGAUCGGGCGUUUGAUUACUGAAUUGCGGUUGCUUCGUUCGUAUUUCAACAAGGAGCAAUUGCAAACUCCUUUAUUGCAAUUCUUCGAAGAAAAACUUCCUAGGUUGUCUAUUUCGAGAACAGGCGAACAAGGAGAAAUUGAAGUACAAUGGAAGGAUACAGAGGAUGAACUACGCACCAAUCCAGCUGAUGGAAUAGAUAUACAUGCGUCUCUCCUUCACCGCCUGUCGAUAGCUUAUCCUAACUGCUCUGCCGGAAUGCGAUCUUUCAAUGGAUUCGAAUUUUCCAGUAAAUCAGGUAUCUGUAGAUUUUGGAUUUUGGAGCGCAAAAUCAUUUAGUAAGUGCCCCCUUAUACGACGCUUCUUUGCUGCAACUCACCUUCUUUUCUCUACUGAUGGCAGUGAAAACGAAUCCUUUCAUUGUCGAGAACCUGCAAAUUCCAAACUUUGUAAGUAAUAUUUGCAUAUGAUAUCUUAAAUCGUACAGUAGUAGAAUGAGUUAUAUGGUGCGAGCACACAACAUACGAUGUAGUUUGUCUAUAUCUUUUGUUUCAUGUUGUUGAUUUGUGGAAGAACGCUACUAGAAAUAAAACCGUGAACAAUUUGGUAUUGACUCAUAGAUUUGUUAACAAUUCUUGAUUUUAGGUUUUGGAGGAGCCCUCGGAUAAUUUGGUGCUCGGCAUGCCAGACAUACACCAAACUCCUGGGGUUUGUAUCUUUAUGGUUUUUGCACAUCGCUUAUUGCAUUGGCCUUUUCAUGUUAAUAUUCUAUAGCUGUCUGUUAUUGCCAUUUUUUUAGGCGGUGUUUUCACUUAAAUUAUCUAGGCACAUUGAUUGUCGGGGUCUAAGGAAUGGAAUUACUGUAGUGAUAGAUGGGUGGCUGCAAUCAAUUAUUAAUGUUUUAUUUUCAAUAAUUAACGGUGUUUUGUUUAAAUAUUUAAGGGUGUCUAAGCUAAUUCAUGUCUAUAAGUAGGGAUUUAUUGCCUCAAUCUGUCAAUAAGUUUGAGUUGUGACUUCUUGGUUAUAAGUUGGGAUCUUGUUGCCCACCAUCAGUUAAACUUUGUGGUUAAUGAAGUCUAAAUGUAGGGAAUAAGUUCAGCACAUAGUGGCCAUCCCACUACCAAAUAUUUGAAAAUCAAAGUAGAAUCACAUUAUGAUAGUUUUUUCUGUGAGGAUAGUUGAGGCUAACAAGCUGACCUUAAAGAAAACAUGGCCUUCAUAUACUCAUUAGUAAAUCGGAAAUGAACUUUGAACCUAGUAUUUGUCUUGCAAUCGGAUGCUAUUUGAAAUUUUGGAACGUUGGACUAUAGUUUUGUUUUUUCUUCUCUCUUUUAAUGGUUCAUUUUGGAUUUGAAUAUUUCUACUCCGAAACUUCAGUGUAAAUGUUCCUAUGGAUAUCAAUACCAUGAUAAAAGUUCAUAUUUAUAUAUGUUUUCUGCCAACCAACUAGGGGAGAUAAAUUAAGUUCCGAGCUAAGUUGCAAAAAAGUUAUUGGGAGCCGGGAGGCAAUAGUCGAUCAUUUCAAAAAUCAAUCAUGACUAGAUCGUAGAGGGAAUGAUGGAACACGGCUUCAUUUCUAGUAAUUAAAUAAUUUAUUUGUUAAGACAGGGAAAAUCUUGAACCCAUGAAGGAAGCUGCAAAGAUGAAUUCUAAGUACAAAGAUCGGCAUGGUUCUUACUAAAAAAUACAUGUAAAGAUUAUAUUUUAAUAACAUCUCAGGCUUGUUCGAGGGAUUAUCCCUAACAGAACUUGCUUAAGGCUGUUUUUGUCAUUGUUGCCUCUAUUUAGUGUAUUAUACUAUAACUAUAAGCUAACUAGCCUUCCUUCUACAGGUGAGUAACCAACGAUUAUCCAUUGGGAUGACUCCGAAAACCCGAAGACUGCCAAAACCAGGCGAGAUGCUUGUGUCCAUCCAUGGAUCCCCCUUGGGUGUUUACAAGGAAGACAACAUGGAAGCAAUCCAUGGUAUGCUCAUUUAGGUCAUUUCCAUUUCUAGACAUGGAGUAUUUUGGUGGGUUUAUAUAAAUCGUGCUUCUACAUUUUUCUAAUGGGUAAAUUGAUAUUGUGCAGAAUCGGAAGAGGGUUGAUUUGCUGAUUCAACGCGACUUGACUGCUUGUCAAUAGAAGUGAUACUCCAAAUGCGAUCAUCUCGACCAUCGUUUUACUUUUACCUGAUGUACUUUCAACCUUCUUGUCUUGUAAUCUAACCUUUUGAUUACUUCUUAAAAGUUACUCUUACGUGUAUAACUAUAAACUAGUGUGUUUUAACUCCAAGGAACGAGCAUGUACAAACACGCAAUUGCUCCACUAGAUUAUUGUUCAUUGUUAUUUGUUACGAAAGUUGACGUUGGAUUAAAGGUAAAUCUGGAUUGUUGCUUUGUCUUUAUUUCCAACAUGUUUUUUGUGAUUACCAACACAGUCUCAGAUCGCUAAUGAGGCAGAAAAAUGGUUCAGACGGUUGCUUAGGCUCUCCGAUGACAAUUGAAUCAAUUUAUAUAAUCCACAAAUACAAAGCACACUUAGUUUGUCUGUACAUCCCAAUUUUGUGAGGAGUCGGACCUCAUCAAAUCAUAAAAUUUCAUGGGAAAAUAAAUGAGCAUAUAUACAAAAUUUUGGUUUCUUUUCAAAACUCAACAUUCCUGUAAUUUUUGUAAAACUGCCGUACCAUUCUCCAAAUUUUAAGAGGAGAAGUCAAGAAGCUUCUAAAGAAUGUAGAUUGACCACAAAAAGGAAAUUCUUAAGCUAACCCUAGCUCUGGAGCAUGGUUUUCCACACCACUUUCUGAGUUUCGUGAACCUGUUCUAGUUCUUGAAGAUCUUGGUUUUUGCACAUUACUUUCUAAGUUUCUUGGACCUGAUCUAGUUCUUGAAGAUGACUGUUUUUCCACACUACUAUCUGAGUUUCUUGAACCUGUUCUAGUUCUUGCAGGUUCUGGUUUUUCUUGUGACGAUCCAAUGGUUCCCAAAGCAUCGAGGAAGAAUCUCUUAUUUGGAAUGAUGCCAGCUUUGUCCAUAUUCUUCAAGAGCUUCUCCAGAAGUUCCUUCUUAUCAGCUUUGGUGUAAGCUUUAUAAAGAAGCUUGUAUGUUGU